UUUACAGUGAGGUUACGCUUCACUGAAACAAUUUUUUUCUUCUGGGGAUUUCAUUUAAAGGUUGGUCCCAUGACUUUGACUGCUCCGUAACUGAACAACGUCAUUCAUUAGUUCACAGUAGCUACUUGCAGGACUUCCUGAAAUUGGUCAGGCUACACUCUCACGUUUGUUCAAGUCAAAGUUCCAAUAACAAUACACAUAAUGCGCAUGUCUAUCCCAUGACACAUUACACAGUGACUUCACCUAAUAAAUUGCAGACUCAUUUGAGACCUACAAAUAUCAGGGCUAUUUUGUGAAACAUAGCUUUGGACACUCAAAAGUCCUUUAACUAAAAUUUUGGUGUCUGGUAUGAUUGUUGCAAGACUCUUUGAACACAGAGCUGCCUUUAAGUCCAAUUACCAUUUCUCACUAAAUAACUUUGGGAUUACAAAGCUGCUUUUCAAAGUUCUCCCAAAUUCACCCUAUAUUAGUUUGUACAUUACAAGUAAUAUUUCAAUCUGCACAUGACUAAAAUUGUUGAUAUGGGUCAAAAGUUAUCUCAGGAUUCAUGACUUUGUCUUAUCAUAAGAAAGAUCAUAAACUAACAAUAGGUUCUAUACUAAAGUCAAAUCAGUUAGUUACUAAUCAAAGAGAGAGAAAUCAGGCUACAUGCAUAUAAAACAGAAUUCAAAUUAUGCCAAGAUAGAAAUAACUAAAAUAUUUAAGUAAAAACAAAACACUAAAUGACCAGUGGGAUGGUGCUCAAAUCCCAAGAGAUAAUAGUACUUUCAAGAUAAAUGAGUGAUUAGUCUCACAAAUUGCUUGUCCUAACAAAUGAAACCCAGUUCCCUUCUUGCGCAUUCAAAUGCAUGCAAACUUCUGAAGACACUAAGUAUCUUGUAAUCAGGGAAAACAACACAAGCCACCCUAUGUCAAAAGCUACUAUCAAAUUAUCAAGUUCAGAAGCCAAAGAAAUAAAGAAACCAGAUCACUAAAUGAAUUUUGGCCCCUGGUGCUACCAUAUCUCGGAAGAAUAAGCAUAACAGCUCAAACGCAAUCCCCAUACAUCCCAAUGCAACAUCACAAGUGAAAGCAUUGUCACAGAUAUAUGAUAUAGAAAGAUACAAAUAAAGUGGCACUAGAAAAAUACCAUGUGGAACAUUAGAUCCUCUAUGAUUAUUAUUCAUGUGUCUCGUCUGAUGAAACUGAUCAUAUGAAGAACGCUGAGAGACAGUCAUUGUUCUUUCAUCUGAGCGUUCUCUCCUCAAUCUCUUGCGCCUUUCAUCACGUUCCUGCCAUAAAAAGGAUGUUAUUCUUCACUGCACAAACUACAAUUUCAAGCCAUAAAUUUGAAUGAGACAUAUUUGAUAGCAUAUAUGCACUCAACAUCUGCAUUUUCUAUCCUUUUUCUUUUUUGGCAUUAAUAAUUUUAAUGAAAAAAAGAAAGAACUAGUUCAUGCAGACUGACAACUGGAACAGAGUUAAAAUUGGAAGCUGAUCCGCUGCUCUCAUUAUCUCACGCCAUCAUCUAAUUAAAGUUUCCGCGGGCAUAUUAGAAGCCUAAGUGACUAUGCUGAUAAAAUUUCAGCAUAAUUUUGUAGAGGAUUAUGCUGCUUAGUACAAUAGCAUUGUCAUGGUUAGAAGCCGAAGUGCACAAACUUGCUCGAUCGACAAAGCACACUGCAUAUUAUUAGUUUCCAAAGCACCAAAAGCAUAAGAAUUAGGAAAGAUAAUAAAACUUCCACUCCAAAUACCUGCGUUACCUAACAACAAGCUAGCUCUGGAAAAUACAAACUUUUGCAUAACCGUACCAUGAGGAAAAGGGAAGAAUUCGGAGGAGAAUUAAAUCAGAUUAAACAUGCCGAAACACAAUCUGCAGAGAGGGAAUGACAAAAGAGAGAAUUAGUAAGCACCCGGUUGGCAAUAUCAAGGGCGGACUCAUUGCGCUCCGUUUGUGCGCCAUACUCCUCCACAACAUGCCUAUCGAAACUUUCUUCAUCCUCUUCGGGCAAGGCAUUUAAGUCCAUCGCAACAAUCAUUCAGUAGAAAGAAAUCGCAUUGCCGCAGUAGACCCUUCCCUGAAGGAUCUAAUUUCUCCAGUAAGAGCUCCCCACUUCAGCAACCAGGAACUGCAGGCCCGUGACAAGAAAAGAUCAAAAUUUUGUAAGCUUAGCUUAAGCAGCAGCAUCAGAAAGUAUGCAAACGAGUAGCCUACUUAUUAUUGAAAUGAAAGCCCAUGAUUAAGCAUCCCUGGACAUAUUCCAGGCAAACUGCCCAAAGAAAAAAAACACAAAAUAAAUAAAUAAAUACCCACACACAAAGGGAAAUGCCCCCAAACAAUUAGAUGGAUCCCAGCACGAAGUCAUAGCACCAGGAGAAAACAGGAAGCCGUCCUUAGACGGCAAAGGCGUGCCCAGUGGUUAUUUCGAAACGAAGGGGAGAAAAGGCAGAAACUUGCACGAGAAAACAGAGGAAGAAAUUCGCUUCACUCGCGACCCAACAUUCGAGAGAAAAAAAACACUUCACCAAUCCACUAAUCUCCCUCCCCCACGCACGCACACGCUGCCGCCGCUGCCGAGCAGUCCGCACAGCGACACUCGAAAAGAACGGAAAACCUAAAAAUCGCUCCUUCCCACCCGCCCCCGCGCGGAAUCACUGACAACCGAGGUCCCCCCGGCAAGCCAAAGACGCCGUCAAACCAAAAAAAAAAAAAAAAAAAAGAGAGAGCGAAAAACCUAAAGCCCAAAAGCGCAGCAGACAAAUCCACCGACGGAAGAGGCGAAGGGGGGGACGAGGAGCACGAACCUCGGAGAGGCAAAUCAACGCCGAAUUGCAGAGGCGAACCGCCGGCUUCGCGGAGGAAAGGCGGAGUCUCGCCGAUCAUUAGUACGAUGGAAAAUCACCGUGCGCAAACCCUACAAUGACAGGUGGAGGCCGAGGCGCUAGAGAGAGAAAGAAGAGAGAGAGGGGGGGGAGGGGGGAGAAGUCGAGGUUCGAAAACCUAGGAGAGAGAAAAAGGAAGGGAAGGGCGGGGGAGGGAAGGGGGAGAGGGGGGAGGGUUUUAGAAGCUGAGAUUCACUAAUCAAUCGACGUCGAUGGAAAGGGAAGACGCAACAGAAGGAGAGAGACAGAUUUUUGCAGUUCGCGACGGGAGGAGGGAUCGUUCGUACUGGAUCCACGACAUUAUAAAUAGGCACGCAAUUCAUAGAGAGAGAGAGAGAGGGAGAGAGAUGGCGAAAAAUAAAAAGAAAAAAGAUAAUAAAAAUGAAAAGAGAGAAAUACGAUAUAAGACAACUCAAGUUUUUUUUUUUUUUUUUUUAAUGUUUUUGGGUCGAAAGACAACAACUUGAGUUUUAAGUCGCUGGAGGUGAAGAGGGGAGGAGACACCACGGGCCGGUGUCUUUUACGGGAAUCGGCUGCAGUCCUGAGAGUCUCGGGGCUUCACGAGGGCCGCUCCGUCUUUUUACGUUGGGUAUCCUACGGCGUCAACGGACGGUAAUUCUUUUCUCGGCACCACUUGUCUUAAAAAAAUAAUAAAACGAAUCGCGUCCGCACUUCCUACCGGUCAAAUUUGAAUAGAACUAACAAAAUGAUUUGAUUAUACUAAGUUGAUAAGUUUUAGAACUCCAUUGCGAUAUUUGAAAGUUUUAGAGCUCGAUUAUGAUGUCGCGAUAAGUUUUGAAAUUAUUGAUGCACUUAUCAUUUCUAUUUCAUGUUCAAAGAGAUAAAAAAUUUAGAUUGGAUUGAUGGUUUUACCAUCGAGAGCAUUUUUUUCCUCCUUGAAAAACCAGCAUAUACGUUUUUAAAAUGUAUUAAAGACAAUUUUUGUGUAUAUCUAUCGAAUUUAUAACCAUAAGAUUGAAUGUGAUAGACGACAAAUCAAUGAUCCAAUUUUUUUCAUUAAAGAGGGAUGAGGUGACAAAAAAUACCAUGUGCUUUGCACGAAUAUAUAUUCGUAAAUGACAGCUUUAUGCGAAACAAGAAUUUCAAUCUCGAAGAAGCAACAAUCCCUUGUGCUUUCGGUAUAUCUCCGUCUAGGAAAGGUGUCGAUAUAAAUUGAGGAACCUCCUACUUACAAAGACACAAGGAAAGGAGCCUUUCAUCCUGGUGCUAGAACUUGAUUGGCUAAUUCGAUGUUUAUCAAUAGUUUUGUGAUUAAAAAUAUUCUAAUAUCUAUUUCAAGUACGACUUGGAUAAGAGGCAAUUCUAUGUAGUUAACUAUAUUUCGAAUACUAAAGUAAUGGAUAAACUUCGUUAACCUCUCUCUCUCUCUCUCUCUCUUAUUUGCUUUCUUUCCUAAGAAUAUCUCGUUUUCAAAUUAAGUGGAAUUUGGAUCACUUUAUUCUCAUUCUCAUUUUUUCUAGAACAAAUUUGCUUGAAGUGUGUAUAUAUAUAUAAAAGGGCAUCUUAAAGGAAGGAAAUAAAACUAAAUGAAAUAUAAACGUGCACGUUUCAAAAUGAGUUGAAAUUUUUAUUCUUUUAUUUGUAUGCUUAAAUUAGUGAAUAUUUAGUGAAAUUUAUCCAUAUAAAUUGAGUUAUCCUUCAAAGUGUUUUAACUUAAUUUUAAAUUGAAUGGUUAAUGCUUUCAUUCGCAUAGUCAACAAAAUUUACACUUCAAUGAUAUAUUAUUCAUCUAAUAAGAUAUAUAUCUCUUUUAUGUUAUGAUUUUAGAUAAGACGAGUAAGUUACAUAUAUAUAUAUAUAUAUAUAUAUAUAUAUAUUUAAAGAUGCUUAAACUUUAUUUGCUUUCAAAUUUAAAAUCAAUGGGAAAAAAUCGAAAUAGAUAGGUCUUCGGGAAGAGGAAUGAAAGUUUAUUAUAAGAUAUUUUAUCUUUAUCGUAAUUCUUAUGUUUAAUAUUUUUUUUCAUCCAUUCUUAAAUUUACACGUGAGUUUCAUAAGCAACGUUUGAGGACGACGGAUUAUUAAACCGAUGGUAAUUGAUCGAAUGCGGGUAGUGCCUUGUGUGGUACAAGUAUGGCAUGCGUGGCUUGCCAUGUGGCUGUUACUUUAGCAAAAUUAAGUAUCACAUGGCGAGCAUAUGAGCCAACAUGGUACAAAUAAUAGAAUAGCUCCUAAAAUCCAUUUUGUCCAGUUUAUACAACUUUAUACGUGUAAUUGCAACACGGCUUCUUUAUUAACCAAAAUUACUUUUAAAUUUAUCCUAUAGAUGAAAUAUUUAAUUAUUUGAAUCAUCUAUCGCCUAUUUAUAUCAUUUAUAGCAUCCCCGUCCAUUGUCAAGGACUUUCGAGAAAGCAAAGCCCCGUCAUAUCCGAGUUACUAAGGCUGUCGACAGGCGAGCAAGCCGCUUGGCCCGCUUAGGCUCGAGAGGUAAAUGAGUAAGACUUGGGCGCUCCCACAUUCAAAAGCCUAGCCCACCGAUAUUGGCUCAAAAUGAUCCCGCGCAAUGACUACUGCAUAUCAAUUUUACGUGACAGGUGGACUUGGGCAAUACAUUAUUCUUGACUUUCGUAUCGCAAUCAAGAUCAGUCUGCUUAGUGCUUAUCUUUAAUUGAAAUUUCAUGCAAGACCGCGACCAUCUUCAAUUUGAGAUGGACUUGGGCAAUACAUUAUUCUUGACUUUCGUAUCGCAAUCAGGAUCAAUCUGCUUAGUGCUUAUCUUUAAUUGAAAUUUCAUGCAAGACCGCGACCAUCUUCAAUUUGAGAUGGAGCCAUCAAGACUCUCAAAUUCAGUUCCUUUCGGGAGUCAAAGAUAUGGAAUCCAAUUCCAAGUCACGCAAUUAAGGCCAUAAUCGUGUUUAUGUAAAGAACCAACAAUUUUGUAAUUCAAUUGGAUACCAAGCCAUUGCAUCCCUUAAAUUGUGCUCCGAAAAGAAUGGUAAAACUUCAAAUAAAGGUAUAAAACGCCAUCAUUUUCACAAAUAAAAAUUAGAAAUGGACCAUGUUUCAAAUAAGAGUAUAAAGUGCUAUUAUUUUUUCAAAUAAUGACUCGAAAUAAACAUUAUUUCAAAUAAUAAUUUUAAGUGGUCAAAUUGUCUCAAAUAAUGAUUUUUGGCUAGCUAGUGACUAUUCCGACCAUUAAAGAAUUGGUAUUUUAGUUAAAAAAAAAUCUAAGCAUGUAUUUAAAUAUGUUUUAAUUUUUUCAUUCCUUCUCUUUUUUCUUUUCUUUUCUAUUUGAUUUUUUCCUCUUCUUUUCAUUGGCCAUUGUUGUGCCUUGUUGGUGGCCGGCGAAGGUUGCCGACCUUAGGCCGAAGAAGGGGGGCAGGCGAGGGUGGCCCUCGCCUGGCCUCACUAACAUAAGUGAGGGUGAGGGCAGUUCUUGCCAACGUCAGGUGAAGGCGGUCCCCCCCUAAGUCUAGCGACCUCCACCACAGCUGGAGGAGGGAAGAUGGGAAAAAAAAGAAGGAAAAAGAUUGAAAAGAUAAAAAAAACGAUGAUGCCCUUAAGCUGAUGAGAUUAGGCCAUUCUCUGAGAUUGAUAUGAUCAUUUCGGGUCAUUAUUUGAAAUAAGUUAUACUUUAGACUCUUAUUUAAGAAAACAAUGAUGUUUCGAGCCAUUAUUUGAAAAAAUAAGAGCACUUCAAGCCCAUAUUUUGAAUUUUCCUAAAAAAGAUCAAAGCUUGGUGUCCAUUUUGAGGUUGCAUCAUCAAGGCUCUCGAAAUGUUCUAAAGGAUUUGGAGGAAUUCUUAGAGUGUGUUUGGGAACCACUUUUGGGGAAAGUCUUUAGGAAAAUGCAAAUAUCUUCGAGUUAAAAGGUGUUUUCUAAAAUGCAACCGUGUUUGGUAAAUUGUACUUUGAAAGCUUUUUGUAAAGUAUUUUGAACAAAAUAGCGUUUGGGGAAUUACAUUUACAAAUGAUCUUUGUGGUAAAAAAAAAAAUUGACCAAAGGGCAGUGGCCGCCGGCGACGCCGGAUCUGGGGCAGCGAGGUCGUGCGACGCCGUCGCGACCUUCGACGAUACCGGAUGUGGGGUCGCGGGGUCGCGGGAGGUCGCGCGACGCUGCCGCGACCCAGAUCUGGGGGCCACAAAGUCCUCCCGCGACCCUGCCGCCCCAGAACUGGGUCGCGGUGACCCAGACCUCGCCGUGGGUCACGAUGGUCGCGCCACCCCCGGCGUCGGUCGUCUAGGCGACGGUCACUGGCAACCGCUCGCGGAAGAAGAAGACCGCCUGCCGCCCCAGAUCUGGGUUGCGGCGACCCAGCCCUCCCUCGGUCGCACCACCUCCGGCGUCAAUCACGCCACCCCCCGACGAUCGCCGGCGUCCCUCUAGUAGUCGCCAGCCACUCGCAGUCAGCCAGAACCGAACCCCCCGAGAAGAUGAACAGUUGCGACACAAGGGCAAGAACCGGAAAAACAAAAAAUUCGUGAGGAUAAUUUUGGAAAAAAAAAAAUUAUGAACAGUACCCGUGUGGGCAUGCCGAAAAAGCCAAAAGCCCAAGGCAGGUCCUCCCCUACCUUAAGCUUUCGGCUUCACAAUGCUGGCAUUUAGGGAAUGGGGGCUCAAAAUUGUUUGCCAAACGGGCUGGCAUUUGCCCAAGUAUCUUCAAGCUUCAAAGGGACUUUGGGGAGUGGUUCUCAAACGCACCCUUAGUUCCAUUUCAUAAAUUAAGUUUGGUACCCCUUUUUGCAAAGGGUCAAUACCACCAAAUCCUAUAUUAGUAUAAUGUGUCACAUUUACUUCAAACUAAUUUAUGUUAAACUGGUUCACUCAUGCCACAUUUACUCUAAAUUAAUACACAUGUGAUACAUUUACUUUCAAAAGAUCUCAAAUUUGUGCAUGUGAUUGGGGGUAAAUGUGGCACAAGUUUUGCCAAAAUUGGGAGCAAAUGUGGUGUGGGUAUCCCAAUUUGGAAUAAUUGUGUUAUAUAUGGAUUAGAUUGGGAAUUUUUGUGACAAAAAAAUGAUUAAAGAAGAAAUAACAUGCAUGUAUUAGUUUGGGAGAUUUUUUAUAGAAUUAACAUUUUUUUAAAUUAAUGCAAACUUGAUAUGCUAAUAUCUCAUCUAAAUUCAUAUUCUAACUUUAAUGCAAUGGUCAUCGAAUUCCUCACUUUGAGCAUUUCUCUUCGACUUAAAGUGCUGCCAUCUUUCACCUCCCGCGGUCCAUGUGUAAGAGGUCCGGUGCCAAGUGGCUUGUAACCCGUGAAAUCCGAAAGGGAAACUGAUACUAUCAAUCAAUUCUCCUCUCGCCACUCGAUAUGAUCAUUUUCCAAGAAUGUCGAGCCAUAUAUCUAAGAGCAACUUAAGAUGCAUUGAUAAAAGAAAAUAUUUUCUAUGAAAAUUAUUGGUAUGAAAAAUAGUUACUAUUCAUUUAUUAGGUGGUUUAAGGAAAGUGAUUUCUUUUUGGCCAAAAGGUUAAGUUGUUUUCCCCCAAUUCAAGCUUGUUAUACUCCAUGAAAAACAAUUUUUCGCAAAUCGAUUAAUUUUCCAUCAUUUGAACAUAGGAAAGUCAAAAGCAGCUUUCCUAUUAAAUAAACAAACUCGUAAGCGCUUUUUGGAUUUUGCACUCCAAAUGGCACAACCUCUUAAGGGUCCAUUAAAUGUUCAUAGGAAAUUCGACUUCAAAGUCCCGAACCGCCAGAAAAUUUGGGCAAGCAUACUACUUGAGAAGCUACUUUAUAAUGAGCAUUUUCUUAUCUUCAUUUCCAUGAAAAGGUUGAGCUUCAACACCUUGUUUGGCAAUGGGAAAGUUUGAUACCAAUAGCUUAUAAAACGGGAAAAUUAUCAAAAUAGUCAUAUGGCUAUUAUAAUUUUUCCAAUUCAUUUCUAAAUCUCUUGUAUUUGUGUCAAUUCAAUCAAUUGGACAAUUUUGGCUAGUCGGCACCGGCCAACAGACCAACGUUGAUGUGUCGAUUCUCUAAUUUUUUAUUCCUCUUUUUUUUUUCUAUUUUCUUCUUCCUCUAGCUAGCAAGCUAGACCUCACCGGCCAAGGUCUCACCUAGCCAAGUCUAGGCAAGCUCGACCUCACCAACCACUAGGGUGGCACAGGUGCCUUGCCACCCUAAUGGCCGAUGAGGCCUUUAGCCGAUUCGACGACUGGUUAGAGGAAGAGGAAAAGAGAGAACAUAAAAAAUUUUAAAAAAAUUUAUUAAAAAAUUGACACGUUAAUGUUGGUCAGACGACUGUUGUCAGCUAGCAUCCACAUCAACACUGGCUAGUAAAAAUUGGGCCGAUGUACUAAAUUGGCACAAAUGUAAAAGGUUUUUGGCUAAAUUGACAAAAAAAAAAGUUUAUGACUUAAUUGAAAAAACUGUAAUAUGUUUAUAAAUAUUUUGGUGAUUUUCUCAUUAUGAAGCCAUAAAUUCAGAUUUGAUCAAUCUACCUACAUAAAUUGAGAUGUUCCAUUGCUCGUGCAUUUACUUUAGCAGCCGUCAUCUUUGUAGAUCUCAAGGAUUAAGUUACUCUAAAAUGAAUGUGUCAUGGGCCAACAGUUUCCUUGGUUGCGAAACGACUCGUGCUGUGCCUAGCGAGUGCAAUUCGCCAAGCUAGCCUUCCUUCUAUAGCUGUUCCAACGAACAAUAUAGUGAAUAGUUUCUCUAUAUGAUAUUGUACCACGCCCAGCUUCGCUCAGGUAUUUAGUUUGUCGAAUGAGAUAGUAGAUCUCUUUAGACUCAACAACUGGUUUUGGCUUACUAUGGUUUCGUCAGGAGAGCGGCAUCAACUCUCGACCAGUUUGUGCAUGAGAAGCCAACCCCGCAUUCAGAGCUACUAAGUGAUAUAAUCAUUCUAUCUUAUAACUCCUGGCAUCAAUCGUCCUAACACUACUCCCACGAACCAGUUGUGUUUGUCCCCUCCACUUCCUCACUCUUCACUCGAUAACCCCAAGCACCGCUCACAAGUGUCACGAGUACGAGAGAAUUCACGGACCGUGACAUUCUCCUCCACUUAAUUUCGCAACAUGCUCGUUGCAAUCUAUUUUGUCGCUUCCUUGCGUCCCUUAACCAUUAAUGCACCACAUUCGGGAUUUCGCAUCGAAUGGUCACGCUUGCCCAACAAAACAGGUUUUGCUCCGUUGGUAGCCUCUUUUGAUCUCAGUUGUUCAGGCCAUUCUCGAUCACCCGCACAAUCUUUGGCAAGUGUGGCAUUUUUCGCCAAUCGCAUCUUUUGGCAACACCAUUUUUGCCUACUAAGCAUCUUGACCCUAGCCAACCAAAUGAAUGUUCUUUCAUUGUUGAAAACGUGGCAGUAGACCUCUUAUUUGAAUUCACCGAUUGAUCCAAGAACGUUAUCCAUAUUUAGCAAGGAUUCGGUUAUUCUCAAACCCAGUGUCCGCUCGGUGAGGAACCAACUCUUCCUAGUACCCCCAUUAUCAUCCUAGGAGCUGAGAGCCGCGCUUUGUUCGAGCACCUUUUGCCCCGGCAAUUCACUCUUUGCCCUUUUAGGAUCGAGUAGACCACUAGUACUUCUUAGCUCAACCCACAUUGGAGCGAGGAGUUCGAUUCUCCGACUCACCCACUUACUAGAUUCCUGCUAUGAUAUCACAUGUCACAGGCCGACAGUUUCCUUGGCCGCGAAACGACCCGUGUGGCAUCUGGCAAGUGGAAUUUGCCAGGCCGGCCUUCCUUCUAUAGUUGUUCUAGUGGACAAUAUGGUGGAUAACUUAUUUGUACACUUCUAUCCUAUAACUCCUAGCACUAACCUUCCCAACGCCACUUCCACGGACCAGUUGUGUUCGUCCCCUCUACUUCCUCACUUUUCACUCGAUAACCCCAAGCACUGCUCAUAAAUGUCACGAGUAUGGAAGGAUUUAUGGAACGUGACAAAUGCCUAUGUGUAUAGGUAAAUUACAUUAAGGAAAAUCGAUGCAUAAUUCUUUUAUCCACUUUUGAGUCAUUGGUUUGCAGCCCAAAUUAGUGAAUUCCAUUAAUUCUAACCAUCGAAAGGAGGAUAUCGAACAUCCCAAAUAAACUAAAGAUAACGUCAAAUAUUUGAAAGUAGUUUAAAAAUCAUAUUAAAUAAGAUAAAAAAAAAUCUCAAGACUAUAUUUAUAUAUAGGAUAAGUGUUAUGGAAGUCCUAAAACUUGUUAUGAAAAUAUAUUUGAGUCAUAAAACUUGCAAAAAAUGCAAAUACUCAAAACUUGUCAAAAUGUUUCGUUUGAGUCAUAAAAUCGACGCCGUUAGCCUUUUCCGUUAAAAAUGCUAAAGUGGCAUUUAAAAUCAAUUUUUAUUUUUCAUGUGGAUUUUUUUAAUAUUUAAAUUAGAUUUAAAAAUUAAAAAGGUGAAAAUUUAUUUAAAAAAGAUAAAAAUUUAAAAAAAAAUGGCAGCCUCGUUGACCCUGGGCGCGGGUGGCCGGUCCUCGCCGGCCCCAGGUGAGGGCAGGCGACCCUCGCCAAGCUCGGACAAGGGUGCCUAGAUCUGGGCACAUCGGCCCUCGUGGGGGGCCGACGGUCGUCGCCUAGCCUGGGUGAGGCAUUGCAGGCCCUCGUGCGAGGCUCGCCCAUAUCUAGCGAGGCUCGCCAGCCCCGAGCGAGGGCCGACAAGGCGUCACCCAAGCUGGUGACGAUCGUCGACCCCUCGCAAGGACCGGCGUGCCUAGAUCUGGGCACCCUCGCCCGAGCUUGGCGAGGGUCGCUGACUCUCGCCUAGGGCCGGUGAGGCCUCGCCUUGGCCAAGCGAGGGUUGGCGACCCUCGCUAGCCCCUCCGGUGAGGUUGCCUUUUUUUUUUUGAAUUGUUUUAUUUUUAAAUAAAUUUUCAUUUUUCUUUUUUGGUUGAAAAUAAGAUAAAAUGAAUAAAUCUAAUUUUUUAGUUUUUAAAUCUAUUUUUAAAUGAAUAAAAAAAUCAUUAAAAAAACCACGUGGAAAAUAAAAACUAAUUUUAAAUGCCACGUCAACAUUUUUAACGGAAAAUGCUAAUGACAUUGAUUUUAUGAUUCAAAUGAAACACUUUGACAAGUUUUAGGAUUUAUUUGCAUUUUUUGCAAGUUUUAUGACUCAAAUGCAUUUUCGUGACAAGUUCUAGAACUUUCGCAGCACUUAUCCCUUUAUAUAUUGAAUUAAAGUUUAGGAAUUAUUUAUGUCAUUUUCUAUUUAUUUUGCCAGGUGGCAAUUCGGAUUAUUUAUAUUGCAUUUUAAGCCUUCAAAUCAACACGGUUAUUUAAUAUUAAGAAGACAAUUUUUUUUUGAAUAUUUUGAGUAAUAUAUAUUGUUGCCAAUUUCUCUUCGCACUAAUCUAUAUCUCUCUCUCUAUAAAUAUACACAUGUAGAUAUUACGUUUACAGUGCUUUAAGUUGGUCUAAUCUAUAGACCACACUACGAAUAUGGGCUUACUAUGUGUAUAGUGUUUUUAUACAAUUUAGAUAGGGCACAUGCACUACAGAUAUUUCUAUGGGCAGUAGAAACUUCUAAUAUACAAUGUAAAAUAGCUGCACAUGUGAAUGUAAUUAGAAAUAAAAUUUCCCUAGAGUAAAAACCAUCUAAAAUUUGUUUGCCAUUGAAACUUCUAAAUUUGGCUUAUUUUGGAAACACAUGUUCAGAACAAAAUUUAAUACAAAAUUUUGUCAAUACUAGUAGCAAUGUAUGAAGUUUAAAAGCUCUAUAAAGUUAAAAACUUGUCUCGUAUUUGAUUUUUGGGCUUGUACUAAAUUCACUUGAUGGUUUCUGCAAACAAGACUAAAUCAGACGAAUACAUUGAUAAGUCAGUAUCAAUUUUUCAUCUUUCGUAUUUUGAUUUAUUCCUAUGGAUAGAUAUGUGUGUCUUCCUUUCCAUGAUUUUGUGUAUGGGAUUUAUUACCCAAAAACCAGUAAAAUUAUAACUUAGGCAUGGAUAUGCUUUGCUUUGGAAGAUGCUUUGUCAGAUGUUUAAUGUUAAUUCAGAAGUAGGAAUUGACACGUACCUUAUAUAGUGAUAGUCCGAUAAGGUGUCGAUAUACGGAAAUAAAACCCGAAACCACCUGCCUUAAAAUUAAUAUAGCUUCAAAUGCAUUUACCCUACUUUCUCGUUGCAUUCUCUGUUGACCAAAUAAAUCGUUAUGCCACGUUACUGUCAUGCAUGAUUGACUUCGACAAUUGGGGGACUCGAUUUUGAGAUUUUGUCCGCGGUUUGGGGAUUGUUGCGACUUCGGUUCAUCUUUUGUCAUGCUUCGCAAAAUUUAUCCAUGUCAGACCAUCGUGAUGUCAGGUAAGCCGACUGCCACUAAAUCAAUAAUUUCAAACAAAAAUUUACAAAUAAUAGCUACAUUAAAAUUUCACUCAAAUGUAUAAAAACAACGUUAUAAAAAUUGGAAGAAUUAAAUAUUAUAACUUUUUAACUGAAUUGAUAAUUUUUCCGACAUGGAUCAAUGCCUCUAAUGCUCAUUUGGGGAAAAUUUCAGGUGUUGGGCAAAUUUUUUUGGGAUCCCAUUGGUUAGAUGUGAGUUUUGACAAAGAUAAAAACUCAUGAUUUUGUCUUCCCAUCUUGCCCUCAUUAAAUUAUUUAAAUCCCAAAUUUACCCUCACUUUACACACAAUCUCUCCUCCCCUCUCCUCUAUCAUGCCAUUGCUCGACCUCGCCAUCUCUAGCAAAUUCGAAAACUCACCUAUCCCCACUGCUCGACCCCACGAUCGAGCCACCUACUCGAACGACCCUAGAUUUGUUUGUGACUCUUCUUUGUAGACCCAAGCAACACUUAACAAUGGGCUCCUUUCUUAGAUCUGUUACUUGGAUCUAACCAUUAACAAUGAGUGUCAAGGGUUGCUGAGAUCUACUCUUUGCUAGGGUCGCAUUACCUUGGAGCCCUUGCUCGGGCUUAUGAUGGCCCUCACUCAAAUCUUUUUGCUUAGAUUGGUUCAUCGCGAGGCUCGCCAGGGUCACACAACCUCAGAGCCCUCAUUCGGGCUCGUGGCGGCCCUCGCUUGAGCUGGGUAAAAUUCAUCGCGCUCGUUGAACAUAGGCAGACGAUUUUGAAAGCGACGACGGGGAGCGAGAUGGAGGCCGACAGCAGCGCCGAUGGUGAGGGCAACGCUUCUUCGUCGGCAGGGAAGGCUCAAAGGAAGAAGAUCCACACGGAGCUGGAUCUGAACAAGGAAGACCGCGGGUAGUACCGACAAGAAGGAAGCGGUUGGGUUACUUACCAGUUACCAUGACCAUCUCUUUUGCUUUUCUUCCUUUUUACUUCGAAAUUACUUUACACAAAAUCUACUAAAACUCAAUUAUCCAGGCGCUUUUUAUUUUAGCAAAUACAAUUCGAGUCAAACGUCUUUAAGAAAAUGACUCUGUAUUUGCCCAGAGCUCCACCAAAUGUAGCCAUAAUAUACCUGUUCGUUCGUUUUUUCCCCCACACUUUAGCUAAAAUAAAUUGAAAAUUUAGGAGUUCAUUAGCUCGAAGAUACUUCUUUGGUAAUAUUUAUUAAAUUUCAAGCAGGCUCUUCGAAUUAAUCCUGAUUUGUAAUAAGGCUGCGCAACAAACCCAAAAGAAAAAAUAAAAUUUCAGGGUUUUUUUUUAAAAUUUAAAGUUCAAUUAUGGUUAGAGAACGACCCAAAAAAAAAAAGUUCUGGUUUGAGUUAUACUGAGGUGGAUAAAAUUGAUUUGGUUGAGUUUCGAAAUUUCCCAUUUCGGGAUCCUUCUUAGAUCAUUAAAUGAAGGGUGUAGGGCAUUUUCAGAUGAUUAUGAGGUUUCCAAUUGGAAUCUUUGAUAAAAUGAGGUAUUUGAAAAAUUACAGUAGGCCUCGUAAAUGCUUCGAAUGCUAAAAUGGGGAUCCAGAAUCUGAAAUUUCAAUCAAAUUAAAGAUUACUUCAAAUUUUAAAAUUAAAAAGAGCGGCUCUCUCUUCACUUCAUAUUAAGAUUGUUUCUGUCUGAAAUGACUUAAAUUAAAUUGGAUCACCGUUUAGAAACACUAUUUAUUUAACCGAAUAAGGAAAUUAAUCAAAUAUCCAGCUGGCAGGAAUACCACUAUUCCAGGCACACCUCGCAUGUGUUGGCUCUGAGUAAGUAUGGUCUAGAUACAAUUUACUACACCAUAAGCAAUUACGAAUUUGUGAGACCCAUGGGUAGUUUCAAUUACAAUUUCUGGGCAAAUAUAUUUAUAUCCCCGAAAAUACAUGUCACCCGCAACUAUAUAAUAGUAUACUCAUACGUAAUUUCUAUCACUUUUCUUUCGCAUUUUUUGCUCUCGAAUUUUUUUUUUCAUCUUCUCUUCAGCUUUCAUGAGUCACCUGUGGUCACCCCCAACUUGAUCGAGCUCUAAGAACAAAGUAAGUCAAUUUCUUUUUCAAGAUUUAUCUUUGGAGACACGAUCGCUGUGGUUUGGACAAGGUCCUAAAAUGGCAGGAUCGAGCAACAGAGGAGCGAAGCUGUACCAUGAGACGCGGCGUGACAGGUCGACUCCUUCUGCCGUGCACUGCCUCAACGCACUGCUACAGGGGCCUCUCUUCGGUGAAUCUGAUUUGACAGCAAUCACGAUCAAGCUCGACCGGAAGGAGCGUCUCAAUUUAAAGCGAGAAUUCAACCUCUCAGCGUACUCCUCCCGUCAUUUUUGGUUCGACGGCUUCGGCUUCCAGGUCGAGGUUUACCCAACUUAUUGAUUCUCCAAUUGGAUUCCUUUCUUUUCUUUCGCUUCUAUCGAAGUCAAGAAACAAGACCACUAAGAUUCAAAAGACCCCUCAUUCGAAUUUUAGGGAAGCCCCUUUGAUACUUUAAAUGGAACUCGUUUAAUAAGAUGUAGAUUUUUUUCCCCUCAUUUUGAAGAAAAAAUUUGCACUUUUUCUCAUUAAUCAAUGCAUGUCAGAUACGAUGACGAUGGUGGAUUUUUAUUUAUUAUUUUUCUUGAAUAAUCAAUUUCACUCGUAAGGUUAAAUAAUAUUUUUCUAGCAAUUGCAGGUCUUGCAAGAGGCCUUAAAAACAUGGGAUAUACAAAUCACCCCACUUCACCCCCGGAAUGCUAGGAAAUCCCUGAUUGAUUUUGAGCAGGAGAGUGCCCUCAUUUGUCUCCGAGACUAUAAGGAAGAUUGGACCUGCGUCCGGAAGGUGGACGGCGAGUGGUACGAAUUCGACUGCCACCACGAGGCCCCGGAGCACGUGCCCGGUUUUUAUGUGCCCGCCUACAUCGACUCCCUCGAACGCCUCGGCUGGACCGUCUAUCUUGUCCGGGGGAAAUUGCUGGAAACGGGUGCCAAGCCAGCAGGUCAAGCUCGCGGCGGCGACGCUAGCACUCAGUCGCCACCUGAAGAUGGUGCCAAGGGGAUAGGGACGGCGGGUGCGGGCAAUGCGAUGUGAGGUCUAAAGUGGAUUAUUUUUCUUUCUUCAAUAUGUUCCAUUGACGGAGGGUAAGCUCAGGAUUUUGAUUACAAUGGUCGUGUUCUAUUGACGAGACGAGACGAUAGGUCAAAAUGAAGCAUGGCAUUUUCUCAACAAAAGAAUUCGCACAUUAAUAGUCGAGGGGCGUAAUUAGAUUUUCUCUACUGUAUUCAACCUUGGAUGAAUUCGAAUAUAUACUAAUAUUUUUUUGCCGAAGAUGUCCAUAUGGCUACUUUGCCAUAUGGAGAUGUCACGUGGAUUUUCAAGGCACUUUUUUUUUUUGGCAAGAAAAACAAGGAAACCGUUGAGAUUCCGUUCGGAAUAAGGUCAAACUCACUCUUAAUUGCGACAAACAACCCAGCAGUAAAGGAUCGGAAAAAAAAAUUACUUCCAUCUUGUCGUCCUUCACCAUCAGCCGACCACAACCUUACUGUCCGGUCCGUCGCGAUCGCCCCGCCGCUGAUGUAGCCGACUCUAGCUUGUGAUUCGCUCACAGCCACCCAACCACCAACUUCUCUUCCAUGACACCCCGGCCGCCGCUCCAUUGCACGAUUGGCAACCCCAUGACGGGUCCAUAUCCGGCAUCGUUGUCCUUGGUAUGGCUUCGGAGGUUGCGCCGUCAUUAACCGAGCCAAAUUUCGCUCUGCCAAAGAUGCAAAGCCAGAUUUAGCCCCGCCGUGGGCCUGUGCAGCUCCCUCGACGAUGGUGGGAGCACAACCUUGACCGGCGCAGCUGUCGACGGAGCCUCCAUAAUCGGAACGUGCGGAGACAGGGAACGAACUUAAGACCUUGCAAACCAUGGCGCGGUAGUUCAGAUAGGGAUGCAAUAUAGGCAGCGUCGGCGGGGCGACAUAGGUGGAUCUUUGAGGGGGAGAGAUUGAUUUGCAUUAGCUCAAGAGGCUCAGCAUGUAUGUAUUAAUAAGAAUUCUUCUAAAGUUGCUGUUGGAGAAGAAAACUACCCAAUGUGGGUAUUCAAAAGUGAAAGUGAAUAUAUGCAUUUUUAUGAAUAAUGUCGAUUUUUUUUUCUAACAAGUCUGAAUGGGCAUCACGUAUAAGAACAUUGAAAUUCGAAGUACAAUUCGUGCCAAAGGGAUGCGACCCCAUUGACACGUCCUGGUAAUAUGAAUGUCUAGACAUGCUGACAAAGUACGACUAAAUUUGCCGUACUGCCAUUGCUUCGGCAGAUAAAUCACGACAUCAUCGUCAACUCCAAACGUAGUACACCUCCACGGUUGGUACAAGGCCUCGCCUCAGCCAAUCUGUGUUACUUUCUCCCUUGUGUUGAUUGAUGGUCCGUUUGAUUUGAUUUUGAGAAAAUAGGCUUGGAAAAAUAAAAAUACCUCUUUGAGAUUUAGAGAUUUUUCAAAAUAUUAUACCAUUUGAUAAAUUAUAAACUUGAAUUGUAUUAAAAAAUAACUUUCGUGUAAAUAUCAUUUGAUAAAAUCCACAUCGAUAAAUGACUUUUACUAUUCUUUUUUAAGUCUAAAAAUUAAAUAUGAUGAAGAUAAAUUGCCAGACAAUUGUUGAAAAAUCAUUGGACGGCCAGAUUUCGCUAGCUGAGGUUGCGCGAACCUCAAGUGAGGCGGCCUAAGGUUGCGUGACUUUAGGCAUUGCCUGAGUCGCGUGAUCAAAGCGCUUGAGGCUGCAACCCCCAAGCGUUGUUGCGUGAUGCAAGUGAUGUUGCCUGAGUUGCAAGUCGUAUCACCCUAAGUAGUGGUUGCCAGGGAGGUGCAACCCCUAGGCGAUAGUGAUGGUUGUUAGAUCUUAGGUGGGCGAUCGAGGAAGAGGGAUGGUCGAGGAAUAGUAUGAAUAGGCGGAUGAACAGUAGACUAUGCAUAUUCAAAGUGUUAAAAACCCAAAGUAGAUCCCUAUCUGUAAUAUGUUUUCAGCAUUUGGAAUGUUAGCAUUUGGCAAAGGGAAUCUAAAAAAUACUUACCAAAUGCUUUGUAUUUUCAAAGAGGUUUUAGAGGCCCAAAGCUCAUUACAAAAACUAAACCAAAUGAGGCUUGUUCAGCCAAAUUCCACGCAAUGGCGUUGUUAGGAAAUGCCGAGAAACAAUCUGUUCCAAGCCAUCCCAUAGUGUGAACAGCCAAAUGAAUUGCGCUGUUAUAUGCAAAGUCAGCCUGAGCAAAUGCAACAUCCCGUUUUCAACUCAGCAAAUACACGGAAUUAGAUUGCUUGAAGUGUGAUUCACUGUGCUGCCAUCAUUCAAAGUACAGUUGAAUACAUGAUGGAAAUAAGCCAGAAGUGACUGGAUCGAGGAAGCCGAUGUCAUGACAUGAGGUAGUCCAUUAAAAAAUCCCGCGCAACUUGUUGUAUUUUUUAAUUCGAGAAAAGUACCUUCGCCCCUUGGAUCGCGUCCGACGUCUUCUUCACAACGGAUGAAAUAAGCCAUCCUAGAGGACCGAUCAACCACCGCAAAAACCGAGUCCAAGCCUCGCUCAGCAUUGCGUAAAACACAGAACAAAGUCCACGGAUGGGAUCCCUCCAAAAACAUCCUCCGGAAGAGCGAACGGGAAGGAGCGUAUAGGAGCCAAUUUACACAGCCUGACGCCCCUUCUUUAUCGGGCCAACGUUAAAUCCAGAAAAGCUUCUCGCUCAAGGACGAACGAGGAGGAACUCCAAAGCCGAUUCCCCUUCUCCAACAGGCUGUCAAAGGACAUUACUCCCUGGUAAAAUGAGGGUUUCACGCAAUCUCGAUUUGAAAAGCGUCUUCUAUCUACGUUCCGAGGAUAAAAUGGGUAUCUCAACUUGGUGAGAGGACGUCCACUUUUGCCCGCGUACUGGCUUUUUUUUUUAUUCCAUUCCUAAUACUUCCUUUUUCAAUUUACAAUCAACUUCAAUCAAAAGUAAAGUAAAUCUAUACAUGAAAAUUAAUCGGUUUUCGCACGAUGAAAUUGCUAUUAGACAGUAAGAGAAAUCUAUACUUUGGUUAUAAUGGAGAAUGAUUUAUAUUCUUUAUGUGAAUAGCAAAUUUAAAAAGUGAUACUCAAUUUUUCUUUCCAACAUGCCGCAUCACAUGAGUAAAUCAUCAGCAUCAAUCAUCUUCGUCCUUCGGACACGAAUCGCGCGAACAGUCGAAACCCAGGACUUUAAUGGCGAAGAGGGGUGAAUAAUUAAGAGCAUCUGCAGCUCAAUUCAACGCUACGGAUUUGGGGCAUUAAUAAUCUUCGGAACAUCUUCAUUUUAGGACGGACGAGACUGUCAUAAAUCCUUGGGCAUUUUCCCUCCUUUUCUUUUCUGGCACAUCCCCCUCCAAUCCGACAAAAUCCCCCAGCCAGCGAACUGUCCGAACGAGGAAAAACUGCGAAGCGCGCUUUCGUUUUCGACUCUUUUCACGCCCCUGAAAAGCAAACAUUUCGAGAGAGAGAGAGAGAGAUAUAGAGUUGGCGCCAACUGGCGAAGAGGGAACGGGGAGGAACUCCAAAUUUCAAAUCUCUUCCAAAUCCAGAAUUCGUAUUAUUUAAUGCGAAGACUCGUGCUUCGAUGCGACUUUUCUCUGCAAGGAGUCGCUCCAGCCCACGUAAAGCAGAGAUCCCAUCCCAUCGUUGGCUUUUCCGAUCUCUCUCUCUCUUCUCCGUCUUUCUCUCUCUGUGCGUCGGAGCGGAAGACGCAGCGUCGUCCCGCAUGGCCGUCCCUUCUAGCUCUCGCCAGAGUCGCCAGAGCGAGGUCUCUCCCUGUGCGCGGAAGGAGAAGAGCCAGAGCCAGAGCCAGAGCCAGAGCAAGAGGAAGGAGGGCGACAGCGGCGGCGGCGACGGGUCGAGCAUUGCCAAGCGCAACAGCAACCCCGGAGUUCGAGUCGUCGGGGGCCGAAUCUACUGCCCUUUUAAUGGCAAGACGUGCCACCAGGUAAAAUUCGAGCUUUUCUCGCUGGUCGUGCUCGUCCGGUGAUUGUUCUGCGAGGUCGUGGUGGCAGGAUCUUGCGUUUUUCGUUCUUUCAGUUUGUUGAAUCUUGCGUUUGAAUUUCUAGAGUCUUGGUUUGUCGUUGGAGGAUGACGAUGUUUUUACGGAGCGUGAAACGGUGGUUACCGUGGACGCUUGUUCACUGCCGUAUCCCUUUUCUUUUGCCCGUGCCUUUUUCUGCUUGUGCGCGACUGUUGCGCCAAUGCUUGAUUUUGGGUACUGGAAAAUGAAAGCGAUGUGAAACCAUUUUUCACUGCAUUCUUUUGGGAAAUUUCGGUGUUGACUUCCCUCUUUUUUUUUUUUUUUCCUGGCUGUUUGAAUGUUACAGUGCCGUCAGAAGACGUUGGAUUUCACAGCUGCUUGCAGAAACAUGAAAGGAGACAAGCAGUGUACCAUUAAGUUUUGUCACAAGUGCCUCUUGAACAGGUUAGAAUGGCGGAUGUUUUGUUUGUCUUUAUGUCGAUCGUUUGGAUAUGCAUUUUAUGUCAAUAGUGGUAUGAUCCAUUUGGCGAUCCGUUGUGUUUUGUUUUUUCAAAUCUAAGAUAUGGAGAGAAAGCGGCAGAUGUGGCAGUGUUGGAGGACUGGAAAUGCCCUAAAUGCAGAGGCAUUUGCAACUGUAGCUUUUGCAUGUAAGUCUUUGGUUGUCCUAAAUCAUUUUGGUUUUGCACUGUUUGUUGCUUUGGUGGCUUGGGUGACGGGUGAAUAACCAUUCUUACAGGAAGAAAAGGGGUCACAAACCCACUGGUAUAUUAGUACACACGGCUAAAAAGACUGGAUUUUCCUCUGUCUCUGAGAUGUUGAAUGUCGGAGGUCCUGAUAGCCUUGAUCUCAACAAGCCCGCAAACCCUGUAGAUGUCUCAUCAUUGAAUUCUGAUUCAGACGAGGUAUGCCAAGCUUACAAUUGUCUUUUGUUUAAUAUGCGUUUCAUUUUAAUGAAUCUUUUGAGAGGACUUACAACAACUGUUGCUGGAAUCACUGCCAGAACCUUGCUGUUCUCUCACCAAGAAAACGGGGAAAGGAGAAUUCUUCUGAUCGCAACAUUGACCUGAAUUUGAAGUUGGAUAGUUCAACAGCCAACUCUGAUAAGAAGUCUUCGAAGAAAAGAAAAUCUGAUGACCUAAAUGAAAUGCACAAUACCGAUGUUGAUGAUGAAUCUAUUCUGAAGGACAGAACCCUGAAGAAACCUAGUGACAGUGACAAAGUUUCUGAUAGGGAGGUACAACGCAAUAAGAAGAACAAGCGUGGGGUUAAAGUGAGAAAGAACAUGAUGGUAGAUGUGUCCAGUGGUAUAUCUUCUGAUCUCGUUAAUGAAGAGAAACCCAACAUGGGACAGGAUGCUGCAGGAUCACUGGCUGCAAGAGCCUAUCAAGCUGCAGUGAAAAGUAAGUCUACUGCAGAUCCAGUUAAGGUCAAUGGCGAUUCUGCGAUCCUUCAGAAGGAGUUGCAUGCUGACAUCCCGCUGCCAGAAGGCAUCCUCUUGACUGGUGUGGCUGGUGUUGAGUUGCCUUCUGAGGUCACUGGAGACGCAUUGCAAUUUUUGGAAUUUUGUGCUGCUUUUGGCAAGGCAAGUUUCACUAUAAAUUGGUUCAGCCCUUUUUGCUGAGAUUUCUUACUUACAAUUGUUAGAGGUGUUUGCAAUAAUAGCCAUAUCGGGUAAGGAAACAAAUCAGUAAUUAACUGUAUUCUCCUGAUGGUUUUAUUGGUAAAUUCUGGAUAUAUUCAAUCAGGGCAAUAAUAUUUAUACACUUUACUUUUGUUAUGCCAAUUUUAUGUCAGGUCCUUGAUAUCAGAAAAGGAGAAGCUGAAUCUAUACUUCGAGAAUUAACAUGCGGGAGAAGGCGGCGCCAUGGGCAGGCCUCUUUAAUUGUUCGGUUUCAUAUCCAAUUGAUUUCUUUGAUACUGAAGGAUAUGGGGGAUGAGUAUGUUUCAUUUGAAACUCUUACAAAGUCUCUAUUAUUUUGCUCUUGUGAAAAAAUUUCUGAAUCCUUAAUACUUCUGUGGAUAGGUCUCCAUCUAUCACUUCGGCGGAUGAUAGGAAUUCAUGGUUGCAAGCUAUUGGGAAAUAUCUCUCCGACUCUAAAUGUCCAUUUGAAGACUUUCCUCUUGGUUGCCUUGAUAAAGGUGCUGAUGGAUAUGAUGAAUUAGACCUAUCAAAAAAGCUUAGGCUUUUAAAUUUUCUUUGUGAUGAAGCUCUGAGUACGGAGUAAGUUGUGUUGGUUAUUGUGGACGCUUUUUUCCUUUUCAUAUUGCAUUACCUUCCCCUUAACAAGAUGGGUCACCAACUUUUCUUAAUAUAUAUUUUUUUUCUAGAAACCUGAGGGGAUGGAUAGAAGAGCAGAAUCUGCAAUAUGUUGAAAAUGGAAAGGAAACAAGAGGAAAGCUUCUUGAAGUGAAGGACAAGGUACUGAUUAUUGCUGGGGAUAUUUUAGCUGAGAAAUGACUGUCAACCAUUUCUCAUCUGAUCUCUUGUUGUACAGGAGAAACUUUUAAAGCAGAAGAUGAAGAAUGAGGUGGCUGAAGCUAUUAUCGCAAAAAAUGGUGUUCCUCUUUCAUUUUCAGAGCAUGACGCUAUUGUGUCACAAGUAAAACAUGAAAUCGCCCAGGUUCAAGCUGAGAUGCUGGAGAUGAGCAGGAUAUCCAAGAGUACGUUCUAAGAUCUUGAUGUUUGUUGUCUGAUGAAAAUUUCCAGUAAUUUGAGUCCUUAUGGUAAUGUAAAACAGAAAAGGGUUCUCUUAGGAAGACAAGUUCCAAACAUUUUGGUAAUAGAAAACUUUGGUAAAAGAUUUAUUAUAUUUCUUUCUUUUCAGAGGACCUUGAAGGUGGUGGUACAUUAGAAAAGCCUCUGCUAAGGUGUAGUGGGUGUCAAAACACUAGUAAUUUUGCCAUUUUUUUCCAAGUUGUAAAAAUCCUAGUGAGUUUGUCAUUAGAUUUUGUGGUAAGGCUUCAUCUUAGCAAUUGCCUAACAUGUUAACUGCUAGUACAUAGAUCUGUUUCUUUGUGGAAUUCAGCUAGGACGAGAGACUAUGCAUACAACUGUAUUAAAAUUAUACUCAGCUGGUUAUGGUAGGACUUUCCAGAGACCCUAUCACACGCACUUCGUGUUCUGGCUUUAUGUGGUUAUUGAGACUUGAGAUAGUCGCACAUCAGUAUAUACUGAAUUGAUUCUUGUCCUAAUUGCAUUGUCUUUGGCUCCACCAAAUGUAGAUUUCUUAAUUCUCAGGAUAUUUGUGUGCUUUCAAAGCAUAGUUUCUUUCUCACUUUACGUGCUAAUAAUGUUACAAUGGAUACUAAAAAUUAUGUAGAGGGGCAGAGAUCAGAUGCCGUUAGAACAGAGCCUGUCAUUGUGGAUGGCCAGGGGCAUACCUUUUGGAAGUUGAAAGUGUACAAAGGCGAACCUGAUGUAUUGCUUCAAGGUUGGUUUUGACAUACUGCUAAUUUCAUGUGAUGUUAACUGGAUAAUAUGACAUUUUAUCUCUGUUUACUUGCAGAUGUUGUAAAGCGUGAUUCAGUUGUAGCAGAAGAAAAAUGGAUUGUCUUUGAUUCAGAAAAGAAACAAGAAAUUGACAGAUACAUCUCUUCAGUGUAAGUGUGCUAAUAAUAUUCUAUUAAAAGAUGUUUGGUUUUUUAUGUAUUGCAUUUAUGUGACUUCUCUGUCAUCAUGAAUUUUUUGUGUCAAGCUUGUUGUGCAAUAGAACAUUCGUAGACUCCUUCAAGAGUAGUUGAUGUCUUUGUUGCAUGUUAAUUCUUUUCGGCCCUUUAGGAACCCUGUGGUGGUAUUAUUAGACCGGUGUUAGCUAUCCAACUUUCCCAUCGUCUGUGUCCUCCUAUCUCUUUACUUUUAAUUGGAUAACUGCUCUUGGUUCAAGAGUACUAUCAUGUGAUGCUCUUAAAAGAACAUCCCUCCCUUUGUGGCUUAGGACUAGGCACAACUUACACUGAAAAGCUACAGUCAAUCUUCUUCUUGAAAACCAGAGUUUGAAUUUAAAUUUCUUGUGCGAAGAUGAGCAGUGGCAUGACCUUGGUUUUUUUCACGGAGUGCCCCAUUAACAUUGUCACUUUAUAACCUUCAUGGAGCUAAAGAUUCAAAGCCUUAUCAGUAUCAUUUCACAAGAUGAUUGCCAACUAUUGAUAACUUAAUCUAGUCAAAUGACAACUCAACAUUGACAUGGCUUUGCCAUAUAUGACACAUCUAGUGUACAUCUAGAUUUAAAUGUUCAUGUGGAUUAACUCUUUAUGAAUGACAAGCCGGCAUCUUCAAAAUCUCAAAAUUCCGUGAAACUGGAGUAGAUGAGUACCUUCUACAUGACAAUUUGGUGUGUAGAUGCUGCAAGGUCAAUUUUGAAGAUACAUCUACUGAAAGCAAUGGGUGUUCCUAUGGAACGAUUUCUCACCAAUAUGUAUAUUGAUGCACUGCACUAAUUUUUCUCUUUUCAAUCUUGCAGGGUAAAAAGAUCCAGUAUUCAAAAGAUCUACCCAUUGCACUAACUGAUUCUUGAGAGCUGACGCAAAGAGAAUGUGUCUUGACGACUCAUGGGCUCAGCCUGCCAAAACCCUUUUUGGCCCCCUGUAGUAACAGUUGAAAGAGGAGUUCAUUUUGUAGCCGCUGUACGACUCCUGGAAAUCAGGAAGCGACAUGUCGCCCUGUUCUAGCUGUGAUCUUUAACCUGUAAUGCAAUUGCAAUGUAGUAUAAUUCGUUUGGGUAAUCUGAUACGGCAUCAGCCAUUGUCUUAUGGGCAGGGUUGGAGUUCUUUUUUUUUUUAUAUCUUUUUUCCUUCUGAAAAGACCAAGCUGCACCUGAUUUGAAGAAUAUUCACUAAAGAAAGACUAAAUUCGAACCAAGGUCGCACUCCUCUCUCCUCCACACCCUGUCUAUUCCAAAGCUAGUCAUUCCUGAGCUGAGUUGAGCCCUCCGUUGGUGCUUGCUUCCGGCCCUUUAGGAACCCUGUGGUGGUAUUUUCCUUUUUCUCGAGAUUUAGGGCUUAUUUGAUAAUGUGUCAAAUAGUAUUUGAUUUGAUUUUUUUUGUUUCUUGAAAAAAAGGAGAAAAGGAAAAUAGAAAUUUAUUGGGCAAUUUUUUUGAUUUUAGGAAUUAAGAAGUAGAAAAAUAUUUUUUGUUCUCGGCAACAACUCUGGGAUCAAGUUAAAUCAAGUUCUUUCUUUUCUUUUCUUAUUUUCCUUUUAUUUUCUUCUUUCUCUAGUCGGUUGCAAAAAUAUAAAUAAAUUAUUAAAAAGUUAAAAGAGAAUUUGAAAAAUAUAAUAAAGUUAUAUUAAAAUUAUGAUAAAAUUAUAUAAUAAAAUUUAAAAAAUAUGUAGUAUGUAAUUAAAAAUAUAUAAUAAAAUCAUUAAAAAACUAAAAGAAAAUUUUAAAAAUAUAAUAAAAAAUUAUAUUAAAAAUAACAAAGUUGCUUAAAAAGUAAAUCCAUGAUUAAAUCUAGGAAAAUAAUUUUUAAAAAGUAAAAAUUACUUUUUAAAAUAUAAUUGGAUCUUACUUGGGUAUGAGAACCCUAACGCCAGUGCUUGGAUGCAUAGAAUUCAAGCUUGGGACCUCGUUGCCAUCCCCAAGUCUUUGGUGGCCAUGUCUAGGUACUCGACCUCUGCCCCAAUCCGAGUCCACAUAUGUUGGGCCAAGGUCCUCGAGGCUAGGCUCUAGACCUAGUGCCUGUGCUUGAGUUUCCAACGAUUGGGCCCUAGAAUCUUUGGUUCCUACAAACAAGACCUUAAAACCUAGGCUUGGGGGUCCUAGCGAUUCGGCAUGGUCCCUCACCUUGAGCCACGGUCCUUGACACUAGGACUUCAGCAUGUGGGCUUGAGUACCCCAAUGUUGAGCCCAAGACCACAGCACCAGAGCCCAUAGUCUUUGCUUCUGGACCUCUGAGACCUAGGAUUUUAUUUGAGACUUUUUCCCAAAAAGAUGUGUUACGUAAUUUUUUUUCUUGAAACAAAUAUUGGAAAAUGAUUUCUAUGUUAUCUGCAAAUGACAGCCCAAUAUAGGAAAAUAUCAUUUUUCUCGAAAAUGUUUUCCAAAAAAGUUCAUUUUGCGUGGAACAAACAAAAGCCUUUAAUUGCAAUAAGAAGCGUAUGACCCGAAUUCAUGGGGAAGAAUAACUUGAAGCAUAAGGCUACCCCAGGAGGGGAUACAUGAUGAUCUAAUUCUAAGUUUCACAGAGCCCGAGGCUCCCCGAGCACCAACAAAAAUGCCCAACUCAUCCGAUAGUCACUGCAAUAUUCUGAAGAGAUUGCUGUCCUAUUAGCGAACAAUGGAGAGGAUUACUUUGCAUAUCACAAUCCUAAAACGCGGUGGCGUCGCAAUCGGAUGUGUAGGACCGGUUACAUGCAAAAGUCACAUCUGAAUAAUAUUUAUUGAAAUGAGCAUGAUAUUCAAUUGAUUGGCUGAGCAAGUUUGAAUUUCCUCCGGCAAUUUUAACCAAGAGAAACAGUCAUAGUUCUGAUAGUCAACUGGUGAAAGAACAGAGCAAGAAAAGACAGCAACCAGCAAAAAAUUCAAAGUUGCAAUGACCACCUAGCCGUUCCUUUUGCUUGGUUCCUCUUUAACAAUGAGUGAAAUCCGAAUAAUAAUGACCGAUUGGGGCUUUAUUAUUUUGAGACCAGCUUCCCUGGCCAACAGACAUCCCAUGUAAUUAGCAAUUAUUGUGAGAGCCGGCACCUUAUCCUUUGAGCUCAAGAAGAUUCUAAAUUUUUGACAAAUUUCUUUGCCUGCAAUAGAGAUAGGGAAAAAGUGACUUGUAAGGUGUUUAUGCAUGCCAAAUACUACACGCGCAUCAAUAUUUGGUGACAAAAUGAUGGCUAGCAAGUCAUACCUGCUCUAACGUUAGGAACAUGAUCACAUUCCAAGAUCCCAGCCUUCCGAAAUUUGGAAUGAAGCCCUUAUAGAAUGCUAAAGGCCCCUGAAAAAGAAAAUAAAUUGGGAGUCCAUUAAUCCCAUCUUCAGAUGGUUACAGCAUUCAUUUUUAACAAGAGCUCUUCAGACAAAGGACAAGCUCACAAAGAUCAGAUAGCAAAUAAAUAGAAAAUGGACAUGCCCAGAUACUGAGAUGUAAUGGUUAGCAGUAAAGAAGCCAAUAGGGAUCAAUCGUUUUGCUUGACAAGAAAGUACCUUUCUAACAGCUGCUAGAGUAAGGUACUUGAAUGGAUUUAACUACAUAAUGGAGGUGCUUAAUUCUCCCAGUACAGUAUAGGAUAGAAAGAUUAAGACUGGAAUGAGUGCAAGCGGCAAACAAAAAAGAGGAAAAUAAAAUUGCUAUCCUUCUGUGGUUAUGCACCAGGCACUACAACAUCCAAAUGCAAUCAUAAGCAGCAAAUGCGACAUUCAAUUGAAAAGGCGCCCUAAGAGACAAAAAGAACAGGAAAAGUGGAAACAGAAAAAAACCAUGGACAGUACAACAUUGUACAUUCUACCCAGUUAAAGGACAACAAAAAACUGGAAAAGAUGAUAAGCACAUCAAACAAUAAAUUGCAAGAAAUGACCCUACAUCGUUUCUCAGUGUCUUUGCGAAGCAAUCAAGGGUGCUUUUGUAAGUAGGAUCUCCCAUCAUUCUACUCUUGACCUGCCACAAACAAUGGGAAAAGAAACUUCUUAGUGCUCCAGGAAAAGUCAGAAAUGUCAGGAUGUCAAAAAUAUACUCUACAUAAUAAGAAAAAACUGUACAAUCAAAAAAGUGAAUGAGCCCAUUUAUGGAAAUGCCAGAAAGAAACCAAACACAAUGGAAAAAAAGAAAGACCGUGGAUCCCCACAAAUCUAUUAUGAACUUGUGAAAGCAAACAGUAGUCACAAAGCACUCUAAUGACCUGUAUGAACCACUAGGCAUAAGAGGCUAGCAUACCACAUCAACUGGAGAGCCAAUGCAGACGGCAAAAAAUCCUGCCCCGAGACCAGAAAGGAGAUGAGUGAAAACGUUGUCUGAGAAUCCCGGAAUUUUCAAAACAGUCUGCACACGGAUACAAGUUAGAAUCUGUAAUAAAGAUGCUGCCCAACAACCCCCUCCCCACUAGUGAAGCUUUUCAACAGGUGACGCUACCUCCUUGAUUUGAUCAUAGCUGGCAAGCUCAGCAGCAUUGAUUAUAGCAUUUCGUGCUAUAUUUGGUCCAACACCCGUCCAAAGAGCAGCCACACCUUCCUAAUUGUUGAUUUGAGAUCAAUAAAAGAACAGUGAAGGACAUAAAAGCUAGGCAGGUUUUUAAGUUGAAUGCUACGUAUAUCUCAAAUAAGAUGCACAACCUGUCUGAUAAUUGUCGAAUAAGCGCUAAGUGCUCCAGAGUAGCGUCUAGGUACACCAGGGGGCAAUUUUCCUUCAGAUUGAAGCCUCACUUUCACGAGAUCAGUUGGGUUUGCCACUGCAAUUCCUACAGCACCUGUUUGAAACAACACAUAUCCACUUUACAAGACUCAACCAGAAAGCAGUAAAAGUAGUCAAGGAAUUGGUCUAAGGGCCUGUUUGUUUACACUCAAGCAAAAGAAAAAAGUACUUUUCAGCUUUCCUGCCAGAAUUAAAAGUGUCAUUCCAAUUUUAAAAAUUAGGAUGAAAUUAUAUGUGGUUCAUGGGUCAACAUUUGAGUGUUAUGAAAAUUUCUAGGGUUUUGGAAUUUAAAAAUAGUUUAAAUGUGUGGAUUCAAAAAUUUAGGUUAAGCGAAAAGCUAAAAGGAAAAAUUAAAAGUCAAUCCAGACAGGCCUAUUGGACAAUGUACAAAUCUAGGGCCUGUUUGCUUACACUUAAAAUAAGCAAAAAUCAUUUUUUUUUCCUUUCCCAACCAAAUUCAAAAUGUUACUUAGAUUUCAAAGUGAUUAUGGAAAAAGUCUAUGUGAAUCUACUUAUCAACAUUUGAGGGUUGUGAAAGUCUCAAUUUCUGAUUUGAAGUAACUAGUGGAUGAGCUGCAAGAGGUUAAGCAGAAGUUGAAAAAUAAAAGUCAAUUAGAUAUGCCCCUUAAUAGAUGCACCUCAUUGUAGCAAAACAAACCAAUCGUGACUUAGACCUUGUAGAAGUCUGUGCACUAGGAAGACACUGAAAGCAUGCAUCAGUAAGCUCACCAGUUGUGAGGGCAGCAAGAAUUUUCUUGGACAAUGGAACAUCUCCAACAAAGUCUUUACCCACAUAGAAGGUCUUAACCUGUUACAAUGCGCAAUUUAUGUACUGUUACAAAGGGAAUUGCAGCAAAAUGCAAAAUAAAAUGGAAUAGACAUUUUCAAUGACAACACAUAAAAUAAAGCUUACCGGUUCAUACAUCCCGAUUCUAAGCCCUCCAAAUAGACACUGACGAUGUAUCCCUGGCACAAUGCCUUUCCAAAGUGAAGUUAGACCUUCUUCCCUUGCGAUGGUGGCAACCGUGCCAAGCAUGCCCCUAUACUUGGGCAAGGCCAGGGCGUCACCAGGAGCAGCUUUCUUUUGAAGCUGAAGCCUGACUUUGGCAGUAUCCAAAGGAAUAGUGCAGAUCUGCAUCAAAGUUAGAUGAAUUUCCAUAGCAAUUUUAGAUUAUAGAAGUUGUCAGAAGAGCAACUCAGCAAGAGGUGUGUCAUCAAGCAAAAGAUUUCCAGAAGUCUGUGAGAAGUCAAAGAACUAUUCCCAUCAGUCUCUAUAGGUAGUCUUUCCAGAAAAAUAUGCUCUUCCAAUGUGUAAUCAUCAGUCCGCUGGGAACUUCAUUAUGGAGCCAUUUGACUAAAUUUUAAGACAUAUAGAUAAGCAUGCAGCAGAAAGUCAACUAUAUCUUCAGGUAGAUGACACAGGAAUACUAGUAAUUUUCAUCACGGUUUUGCCAUUUGCGUAGAUGCAUAUUUUUCAGAGAGAGAGAGAGAGGGAGAGAGGGAGGGAGGGAGAGAGAGAGAGAGAGAGAGAGAUUUAGACGAAAUGAAAAAGCUGAUAUCAGUGAACUGGGAAAUUUAGAGGUCAUCUGAGUGCUUCUUACUUUUGCUUACGGCAAGAGAGUGGUUUUUAUACGUAUUGAAAAUGUUACAAUCAACAUAUAGGAAGCUUAAAACCUCCAUACAUCAAAAUGGAUAAAAUAUCCCAAUCAAUGACCUGCUUUUCUUGUAUCUACUUAUAUUUGUAUUCUUUCAUGCUCUCAGCACUAAAUUGUCCAAAGCCAUGGUGCCCCAGUAUUCCCAUUCAACUUGAAAAAGAAGGGUCCAAUUUGCCACGAAUAUAGUUAAAAUUAGCAGGAAGUACUCCAUGGGACAAACUACGGAAAGUAGUUAUAAGAUUUUGCAUGUAAGAAAUUUAUGUACUCCUGAGAAAGAAACACAGUAUUCAAAUAUAUCCAUUUAAUGUUCAUAUGGCCUUAGUACUAUAUUGAAAUUCACAUACAACAAUUCAUUUCAGAACUAACUCUUCCCGCACUGGUAAAGUAAUUAAUGCUAAGUGUCAGCCUAUGAGUAAGCCAGAGUUGUUAGAAGUACUUUAACUUCACUGCACCUCCAUUGGCCAAUUUAAGCUUCAUAUCAAUGGGCUGGGGUUAAGCAUUCGCCUAAAAUAAAUCUUGCCAAAUCUUGGAAUUUGGAUGCCAUGCCGGAGAAAAAGUUUACCAAGAAUGGAAUGCACAAAUGUGACAAGAAAGCUCUUCAAGUUCUUCCUUUUACCCGACAAAAAGUCUUAGCGCGUAUAAGGAUACAUUUUCUGACUAUGUAUAGCUUGAUUGAGUUUUCAAGCUUCCAAAGUAAUAUUGGAUUUCCCGGCCUUUCCCCAAAUUAUGCCCAUUCCCUUGUGAGAUGCAAGGCCGUUGAUUCAGAUUUUCCAACGCUAACUCAUUAACUAUCAAAUACCACCCCACAUAAAAACCCAGACUUCUUAAACUCUAUCAUACUUCCGCAUAUUUUCCAAAUUUAGACAUCGAAAAGUUCCCAUAUUUUUUGAUGAAUUUUGCCUUUAAAGUCCAGCGGUUAUGCCAACUUAUCACAGAAUGAAUAAAUUUUACCAGAGAGAGAGAGAGAGAGAGAGAGAGAGAGAGAGAGAGGGAGGGAGGGUGGGGACUUCAAAUUUCCCCAUAAAGAUAGAAGUCAAUACGAGAAAACAUAAAAACAAACAGGUGUAAAGCACAGAAGAGAUGUUAAUUCAUUCCUCCAAAACGAUUUAUUUCGCAAAUUCGCUGCAACCCAGAUGAAAAAACACGCGAUCUAGUACACUCAGGCGCGCGCGCCACGAGAGAGAGAGAGAGAGAGAGGGAUGGAACCAGCUGAUCAAAAUCGCACGCAAACAAAACCCAGCUCGCAGCACACGACGCCACGCCGCAGCGAUCCCCCACGAAGGCGGAAAGAAAAAAGAAUCGGAUCGGUCACCUCGGCGAAAGAAGCGGCGAAAGCGCUGCUGGCGAAGGUUCCGGCCAAGGAGAUGUCGGACCUGGACUUCCCAUCGGCCACCAUCUUUCCGCGGACACCCCCACCGCCCACGCACCACCCCGGAUCAACGCGCGGGCAACGCGACGGAAGAGGAGAGAAUCGAAGGGACGCCGAAGCGAAAGAGGGAAGAGGGAGCUCGCGAUGCGAAAUGGGUCCCCGCUAUUAUAUAGGCGAAGGAGGAGGGGCGCCGGGCAUGAAAAGUGCAGAGCUCGAAUCCAGCCCAGCAGAGGCAAAUGCAGUAACCCAAUGAAUGAUGGGUAAGGUAGAGAGAGAAAGAGAGGGAAUCUCGAAAAGAGGAACCAAAAGGAGGAAGAAAAGCAGGGAAUGGGAAAUGGGCAAGGUGUGCAAAAAUGGCGUCUUGACUGUCUUUCCUCUGUUUCCUCUGUUUCUGCUCUGCUUCGUCAGCUCUUCUCAUUUAUUAUUGGCCAGCCCGCCGCCCUUUUUUCGUUUCUUUCUCUCUCCUUUCUUUCGUUUUUCACCCGGAUCGACUGCCUCCCUUAGCUGUUACUGAAAAUGCCACGAUUGGAUCCGAGUCAUAACUAUUGAUCCCGUGUGAUAUGUUGACGUCUCAAGUCAUUGAUGUUCAAUUCGAGCUCAAUCAAGAAUUGAGUUUCCCAACCGAAAUUUGAAUUGAAUGGAAGUAUCGAAGUACUCACAUCCGAUCGAGCUUGACUAAAUUGUAAUUAAGUAAUGUGCGUAGCGUGAUUUCUAAGAUUUUCGCCCCUUUUGUACAAUUAUUAAAACAUUUUAAAGGAAUACAUACAAGUUUGAUUAAGUUCCCACGAGCACAUCAAAUCGAGUAUUGCUUGGUUCAAGUAGGAAUUUAAAUGAUAAAGAUAGCAAACAUAUAAAAAUGAUCACUAUCCAUAGGUUGAAUGGAUAUGUUUGGCAAAAUCGCCGACACACCUCCUCCUUGCGGGGGGAAGCCCCUUUCAUUUCCCUUACCGCGCCGGCCUAUUUCAUUUGGGAAGGCAUUGCAAGGAUCUAGAGUGGGUCCCUUUACCCCCAAAGGGGGUUGUGGCAGGUUGCCCUAUGGGGCCAUACCUCGGAUUUUAUGUCUCCGGGAAACCCAUUCAAAUGAAGUCUUUUAAGGUGAUGCUUAGGACCAUAGUUGUCUUAUUAUCAAUUAUUCUUCCUCUUGAAUGAUUUCUACCAAACAUUACUUACUUAUCAUAUUUAUCUAAUCUUGUACUUAGUUGAGCUUUUCAAAUAAAUGCUAAUGAAAGUUAUUGAAAGUUAUUGAAUAACAUUGCCUUAUUAAGUGCCAAAAAAAAAUAAAUCCUUGAUCAGAUCUUCACGAAUUUUUUUUUUUUGGGUCAUUUUUUCUCUUUUUGGGAUUUAAAUAUACGUUGCCCACAACUAGCUCGUGGCGCCGCGUAAUAGGUGAGCUGGUUCGAAUCGAAGUCGUCGUUUUUAAGGAUAAUCACUGGAACUUCUGACUCGUCUGCGCCGUGGAUGGAUGGUCACGUUGACUAAUUCAUUUUAUUUAUUUAUUUGAGGUAAGAAAAUCGAAUCAUUCCGACAGAAAAUGACGACCUUGGGGACACCACAUAUGCCGAUGAAAUAGAGCUUGAAUUAUUUACCCAAAUAUAUAUAUAUAUAUAUAUAUAUAUAUAUAUUUUAGGUAGAGAGAGAGAGAGAGAGUUGAAUUCGUGCAGUAUGCAUGGAUUUUAGGUAGAUGGAGCAUCCGUAUUCCACUUGGUAAUGUACAUAUUUGCCUUUUUUAUUAUUAUUAUAUUGCAAAAGAGACAGGACAAAGGAGUCAGUGGGGGGAGUUGAGGGAAGCGCACUCAAGUACACGAGACGAGCCAAGAGUUUACGGAGCCGAAUAUGUAAUAGUUUCAAAAGGGGACGAUUUUAAGAAUCAUGAAAUUAGGUAAUAAGCCACUCGGUUUGCCUGAAAGAAAGCUGAAAGCUCGUUAUUGAAGGGCAAAGCUCUCGAGAGAUGUGCACGAUAGCAUGACGGAUUGAGGUGGGUUGGAGCCCCAUGUUGAAUAUAGAUACUUAGAAUAUUUGCCUAAAUUAAGUCAAAUUACAAUAUCCCUGCAGAUGCAUUGUAGGAAGACUGAUUCCCUCGCCUUUCUUUUCUUAGGAUGUAUUUCUUUGUACUUCAAGAUAAGCAAAACAUAUUUUUUGACUUUUCCUUUCCAAAUUAUAGAAGAGCCAAGAUGUGUUACCUAUAAGAAAUAAAAAUCAGUCUAGACUGAUUCUUAAUCCUAGCGCCGCCACUUGCCAUGACUGUCUAGUUUACUUUGGACUUUCAAUACAGUGGUGUUGAGUAGUUAUAGUUGAAAUGAAUAUUUGAUAGUGGGCGUGAGAUCUUUAAAAUAGUAUACGUUCGAAGGAGAUCACUUGCAGUACUGUCCCUCCCCAAACUUUUACUUCGAAAAAGCAAAAAGAAGAGAGUUGAAAAUGCUUGUCUUGACGUUACUUCGGUGAGGCAAGACCCCAAAAACUUGGACGAUAUGAAUCUAUACCAAAACCCUAAUGAGGGCAUCCUUAGAGAUUCUUGCAGCCACGAGGCCAAGCAGCAGCUCAAGUUGGACAUUGAAGAGGAUUCUAAUAUUCACUUGGCAACCGAUUCUUUACUUAAUCGCGACGCUUGUCUAAUUUUUUUUUUAUCAGCUAGACAAUGAUUGGAGGCAACUAGAAAUCCCCAUGCACUACUUGUUCAUGUACACUUUGAAAUUCUCCAAUUACAUAGAACUCCCUCAAAUUUCACUCAUGAUCUUAGUAACGAAUGCUUUCGACUUAUGCUCUUAGACAUGGCGGAGUUUUUUUUUUUUUUAAAUAUAUGUCGGCUUACAAUCCGAUGGAUUCUAUAGGUUAAUAAUUUUUUUAAGUCUCAUUUUGAGUUUUGAUGUUGAAGUCUUAAUUUCUUGAGAGGUGGCAAGUAGAGUGUUUCCAGAGCAUUCGUUAACAAUUGUAGCUUUACAAAUAAUUAAUUCUCUUCCCCAUGCUUUGCAUGGGUUCAUCUCUAAGAUUUAUAAAAAAAUUGCUAAUUACUAAAGAAACUCAUAAUUCUAAAUUCCACAAAUCAUGAUAUGAUUAGACAUGUUAAUAAAUUUCUCUCUACCUCAUAAAUAUCGUAAAUAGUCAAUCUUAUCGCAUAUAUAAAUGGGAUAAAUUUCAAAAGAUUUUACUCUAGUUCUCAAUUUCUUGGCAGAUUACUUGAACUUUCUAUUUGGAAAAAAAAUAAAAAUUCAUUCCACUAGAUUUACUGCACAAUCAUUUAGUUAUCAGGUUUCCUUAGCAGAAACCUUGUAACUUGGACAAUACUUUUCUGUGUAAGAAACAUUGCAUUUCCUGCACAUAGGGCACUAAAGCGGAAAGGAAUGUGGCAUCCGCAUGGACCACUUUGUCGAAUGCAAUAGCUGGUGGUCUGGUGGAUGAUGAGCAUCGGGUACAAGUGGAAUCCUCUCUCAUGUGCAUGUCACAAAUCAUCUAAUUAUCCAAAGAUCUUAACUCAAUCGUCCAAAAUGGUUAACUCGCUCUUUUAUCAAAGCGUUCCAUGGUCUCUUAAGAUUGUAACAAUUUUAUCAUAAUUUCUACACACAAUAUCCUUAUAAGAAAAUACUCGAAAUAUUUUCAAUAGAUAACUGAUUUCCUUUUUCUUUUGCAUAGGUAAAACAGGAACUUUUAUCUAGGAAUGAAGAAGCACCUCCACUAUCAAAAGCUGUAAUCUUCUUGCGGGGAUGUCUUUUUGUUGCUUUACAAAAAAGUUUCUACAUAAAAGGUGAAAUGAUAGGAUCACUGCCAUUGACAACAUGGUAAUAUUGCUCACGACAAGUUGAAAUCUGCAUCAACCUUUUCGGAUAUAAAGUCGAAGCACCAACUUUAUCUCUGAGCAUGCGAAGAAAAGGUUGAUGAAAUGCUUUCUACAUUGCAUUCACGGCGUUGAAUACAAGUGGUAUCGUCCAAUUUGCUUUGUACCCUUCGCAUCGAGCUCACAGGAUAUGGACAUGCAUAAAACAAGGCCAAUCAGUGAAGUUGGGGAAUCAAUAUAGGUGAGAAAAACACAACCGAAAUCACCAACUAUAUCACCCUCUUGGCUUCCCUCCACCAUCAUAUUCUUCUUCUUUCCCCCAGUUCAUAAAGGGCCAACGACAUCAUAUUCCAUAUCCUACACAAAAAGCUGCCAUUCGUGGAUUCAUUUAUCAUCCCACACUGAAAAGCUUCACCGUCAUUUCAGCAAAAACCUAUACAAUACCAACCUUAAUUUACUAUGAAUGCAUUGAUCAGAUACAAUGAAACAUAUUUUUUUCCUUUGCUUAUUUAGCUACGAUAGUAACGUGCCUUCAACAACACUAUGCCACCACAAAGGCAGUAGAUGAACCGGCGAAAUGCUGGAUGUUCCCAAACAGCGACUUUGCAGCACCAAAGUGUCGGAUUCUGUAAACUCCUGGAACAACUGAAGUAGGGACCCUCCAUUCUAUAGUUGCAUGGCUCCUAGGGCUCAGUUUCACGGGCCUUGACCAUAUGAACCUCAAGCAGAAAUCGUCGUCAUCGUAGGCUGGGAUCCAUGCCUUCUGAUCCUGAAGAAACUCUACCAGCGCGAAAGUGCCCUCAGUCAUCAGGUCGUUUCUAGGACAAGCAGACCAAAAAGUGACGCUUACUAAAUCUCCUCUUCUGAAGGUGGAAUUCAGGGGGAUAUCAGCCUUAACGUCUCCAAAGUUCACACCGGGAGGCGUUGCAUCCAAGAUAACUGGGGGGAGCAAACUUAUUUGCCUGUCAAGGAGAUCCGGUGGUUCCGGACCUGGUUCCAUGGUUUCGUCAGUGGUGAGAGCUUCGACUAAUUUCUUGAACUCCUGAAUGUAGGCACUGUGAGUGUGGGGACCGUAAAGAGUAGAGGCGCCCUGGUGAGAAUCAACAGCUACAUCUAUAAGUCAAGGUGGACGUGGAAACCAAAGAUUCACAUCCACUAUCAAACAGUCAAGUGGGACAAAAUGCUACUGAUCUGAAAGGUAAAGCCAAGCUGAAGGAGCUCUCCCAAACAGUAUCAUUGCUAAAUUUUACCUCACAUUUCCAAGAGAUAGGCCCAUCCUCAAACUAAAAUGAUGACAUUAAUUCAUCCUCCUACCGACAAAAGCAAUUCCCUAUUUAGGGAAUUUAGGCUAACAUUAUGAAUAUGUGGCCAAACAAAAAGAAAACAUAAUGACUAACUGAUAGAACAGUCACGUAACUUGUAAAGGCUUCUUCAUUUAUGUAUUUCAACUCAAUAUAUGACCAAAGCAGGUGUAGGUAUUGGCAUGUCCAGACAACCAGGGCAUCUGAAUGGUUCAUGCAGGCACCUUUACACAAUUAAUNNNNNNNNNNNNNNNNNNNNNNNNNNNNNNNNNNNNNNNNNNNNNNNNNNNNNNNNNNNNNNNNNNNNNNNNNNNNNNNNNNNNNNNNNNNNNNNNNNNNGUCUUAUUUGAUUCAUAAAGAGAUAGAGAUUGGGUUGGUCCUUGAUUUUGAGAUGCCUGAACUAGCAUUGUGCGCGGAUUGGUUCUCGAUUUCGGUCUAACCUAAAUCAACUCUAAUUGUGUUUAUUAUAUAUAAUAUAAUAUUUAAUAUUUCAUUUAUAACACUUUUGCAUAUGAUGUUACAAAUAUUAUUGAUAGAUGAUUAUAAGAACUUCCCAUCUUAUCUCAUAGUGGAUCUUGUCCCACAAUGGUUUUAAUCGUUUAUUUAUUUUAGUAGGUAUAAAAUUUCUAUUGUUGCCUUAAUAGCAUUGUCAAUGGAUACAUGAUUCAAAAUGAUAGGUUUAUAUUUUCAAGAAGUACACAAAAUGAAACAAAAAAAUUAUUGAUUAGUCUCGGGUUAACUUUGGAACCGGACCGAAUCCAUUGAAUUGGUUUGGUCCUUGAUCCUAGACUCAAUAAAGUCAGUCCUGAGUCUCGAAAAUUGAGGACCAAUACUGUACUAGUUAGUCUUAGGAUUAGGGGGUGGAUUAGCUCAACUGGACCAUGCUUGUCUCCACACCUCAAAUCCUUGAUGCUCAAUUGGAGCUCAAUCGAGAAUUGAGUUUCCCAUCCGAGAUUUGAAUUGAAUAGAAAAAUCGAAAUGCUCCUAUCCGGUUGAGCUAAGCUAAGUUACAAUUAAGUAAUGUGUGUUGUGUGGCUCCUAGGAUCGUCGCCCUUCUUCUAUGACUAUUAAAACAUUUUAAAGGAAUACAUACGAGUCCGAUUAAGUUCUCACGAGCACAUCAAAUCCAGUAUUGCUGAAUUCGCGUAUGAGUUUAAAUGGUAAGAUAGCAAACACGGGAAAACGAUCACUAUUUAUAGGUUUAAUGGAUAUAUUUGGCAAAAUUCUAGUUGUCUCAUUAUCAAUUAUUUUUCCUCUUGAAUGAAUUCGGCAAAACAUUACUUAUUGUAUUUAUUGAAUCUUUUACUUAAUUGAGCCUUUCAAAUAAAUGCGAAUGAAAGUUAUUGAAUUAUUUGCUUUGGACCUCACUGUGCCCUCAUGAUUUUGUUCUUUUAGGUUUCGUUCAAAAAACACGUAUAUACAAAUAGAGAAUCCAAAAUCUUAUAGGCCAGUGCAAGACUUUUUUUAGGAGAUGUGGGACAAGAGACACGCCCCUAAAUCUGAGGACUGAGGUAUGAAUGUACCACCAUCCCUUCUCCCCCUCCCCGUGCACUGCCACCUAGACAGCCACACUCUCCACCUCUUAGGAGUGUAGUGUCCUCCUUGUGACGCCACGUGCGGUCGGGGAUUGUCUCUGAUAUCACCUAUAAUGCCGUCACACUCUCCACUGAUGUCACUGUGGCCCCCACACGUGGGCACAACGUCCUUGCUAUGCAUAGCAAUUUUAGGUUAUAGAAGUUCAGCAAGAGGUGUGUCAUUAAGCAAGAGAUUUUCAGAAGUCUGAGAAGUCGAAGAACUAUUCCCAUAAGUCUUUAUAGCUAGUCUUUUCAGAAAAAAAAAUAUGCUCUUCCAAUCUGUAAUCAUCAGUCUAAUUGGAACUUCAUUACGAAGCCAUUUGACUGAAUUGUAAGACAUAUAGAUAACAUAUAGAAAGCUUAAAACCUCCAUUCAUCAAAAUGGAUAAAAUAUCCCAAUCAAUGACCUGCUUUUCUUGUAUCUACUUAUAUUUGUAUUCUUUCAUGCUCUCAGCAUUAAAUUGUCCAAAACCAUGGUGCUCCGGUAUUCCCGUUCGAUAAAGAAGGCUCCAAUUUGCCAAAAAUAUAGUUAAAAUUAGCAGGAAGUAUUUCAUGGGACAAACUAUCAAAUACCACCCUACUUAAAAACCCAGGCUUCUAAAACUCUAUUAUCAUACUUCCGCAUGUUUUUCAAUUUUAGACAGCCCAAAAAUUCCCAUCUUUUUUGAUGAAUUUUGCCUUUAAAGUCCAGCGGUCAUGCAAAGUUAUCACAGAACGAAUAAAUUUUAACACAGGGAGAGAGAGAGAGAGAGAGUGAUGAAACCAGCUGAUAAAAAAUGCGAUCAAACCCAGCUCGCAGCAUACGACGCCACGCCGCAGGGAUCCCCACGAAAGCAGAAAGAGAAAAGAAUCGGAUCGUUCACCUCGGCGAAAGAAGUGGCGAAAGCGCUGCUGGCCAAGGUUCCGGCCAAGGAGAUGCUGGACCUGGAUUUGCCAUCGGCCACCAUCUUUCCGCGGACCCCCCCAACCACCCCGGAUCGACGCGCGGGCAACGCGACGGAAGAGGAGAGAAUCGGAGGCGCGUACCGAAGCGAAAGAGGGGGAGAGGGAGAGGGGAGCUCGCAAUGCGAAAUGGGUCUGCGUUUAUAUAGGCGGAGGAGGAGGGGCGCCGGGCAUGGAAAAUGCGAAGCUCGAAUCCAGCCCAGCAGAGGCACAUGCAGCAACCCAAUGAACGAUGGCUACGGGAGAGAGAGAGAGAGAGAGAGAGAGAGAGAGAGAGAGAGAGAGAGAGGGAAUAUCGAAAAGAGGAACCAAAAGCAGGAAGAAUAGCAAGAAAUGGGAAAUGGGAAAUGGGCAAUGGUGCAAAAUGACUCGACACUCUUUCCUCUGUUUUCCUCUGUUUCUGCUCUGCUUCGUCAGCUUCUCUCUUUUCGUUUCUUUCUCGUUUUUCACCCGGAUCGACCGCCUCCCCCUGGCUGUUUACCCAAAAAUCCAUGGUUCAAUUCAAGUCAUGACAAUCAAUCACGGGCAAUGUAUUGUUAAAGCUCAUGCGCAAUUCAUCUCAGAUCCUCGGUGCUCAAUCCUAGCUCGCCCGAGAACAAUCAAAAUACCGUCAUCCAUUUGAUUGAGCUCGGCUCGAUUACAAUCAAAUAAAGUGUGCUGCGUGGUUCCGGGGAUUUUUGCCCCUUUUCUGCAACUACUAAAACAUUUUAAAGAAAUACAGAGAAGUUUGAUUAAGUUCCCACGAGCACGUCAAAUCGAGUAUUGCUGAGCUCGAGUAGGAGUUCGACAUAAUGAGAUACUUAUGUUACUCGAGCAAACAUAGAAAAAUUAUCAUGAUCUAUAGGUUUGAUGGAUAUAUUUGGCAAGAUUUUAGGUAUCAUAAAUUAUUUUUCCUCUUGAAUAAAUUCCCCGAGACAUUAAUUACUUACCAUGGUUAUAAAAUCUUUUACCUAAUCAAAAGCCUUGCAAAUAAAAGCUAAUGAAAGUUAUUGAACAUGAUUAAUUCAUUAAGUGCAGAGAAAAAUCCUUAAUUAGAUCUUUAUGAUUUCGAUAAGAGAAAUAAUUACGUGAUAAUCUUGAAUGUACUAUGAAAAUAAUAGUUUAUUAUGAACUAUAAAAAAUUAAACCAUAAAUAAUUAUAAAUUGUUGUGAGAUUACUUUUUAAAGAAUUUAUGAUUUACAAUAUAACGUUAUUCUCACAAUAUUCCAAGCACUAUUAUACUAGUAAAACUCAUUUGAGAAUUCCUCUCGUUUCAUUUUUGUUGGAUUUAAAUAUACAUUGCCCACGACUAGCUCGUGGCGCCGCGUAAUAGGUGAGCUGGUUCGAAUCGAAGUCGUCGUUUUUAAGGAUAAUCACUGGAACUGCUGACUCGUCUGCCCCGUGGAUGGAUGGUCACGUUGACCAAUUCGAUUUAUUUUUUAUUUUUUUGAGGUAACAAAAUCGAAUCAUUCCGACAGAAAAUGACGACCUUCGGAGUGGGGACACCACAUAUACCAACGAAAUAGAGCUUGAAUUAUUUGCCCAAGAAUAUAUAUAUAUAGAGAGAGAGAGAGUUGAAUUCGUGCGGGAAGCAUGGAUUUUAGGUAGUUGGAGCAUCCGUAUUCCACUUCGUAAUUUACUCCCUUGGAAUAUUUGCCUUUUUUUUUUUUUUUUGAGUAUAUCGCAAAUGAGAUAGGACAAAGGAGUUAGUUAAUUAAUUAAGGGAAGCACGCUCGAGUACACAAGAUUAGACAAGAGUUUAUGGAGCCGAAUAUAUUAUAGUUUCAAGAGGGGACGAUUUUAAGAAUCAUCAAAUUAGGUUAUAAGCCACUCAGUUUGCCUGGAAGAAAGCUGAAAGCUCGUUAUUGAAGGGCAAAGCUCUGGAGAGAUGUGCACGAUAACAUGACGGAUUGAGGUGGGUUGAAGCCCCAUGUUGAAUAUAGAUGCUUAGAAUAUUUGCCUAAAUUAAGUCAAAUUACAAUAUUCCUGUAGAUGCAUUGUAGGAAGACUGAUUCCCUCGCCUUUCUUUUCUUAGGAUCUAUUUCUUUGUACUUCAAGAUAAGCAAAACAUAUUUUUUGACUUUUCCUUUCCAAAUUAUAGAAGAGCCAAGAGGUGUUACCUAUAAGAGAUAAAAAUCAGUCUAGACUGAUUCUUAAUCCUAGUGCUGCCACUUGCCAUGACUGUCUAGUUUACUUUGGACUUUCAGUACAGUGGUGUUGAGUAGUUAUAGUUGAAAUGAAUAUUUGAUAGUGGGCGUGAGAUCUUUAAAAUACGUUCGAAGGAGAUCACUUGCAGUACUGUCCCUCCCCAAACUUUUACUUCGAAAAAGCAAAAAGAAGAGAGUCGAAAAUGCUUGUCUUGACGUUACUUCGGUGAGGCAAGACCCCAAAAACUUGUACGAUAUGAAUCUAUACCAAAACCCUAAUGAGGGCAUCCUCAGAGAUUCUUGCAGCCACGAGGCCAAGCAGCGGCUCAAGUUGGACAUUGAAGAGGAUUCUAAUAUUCACUUGGCAACCGAUUCUUUACUUAAUCGCGACGCUUGUCCAAUUUUUUUUAUCAGCUAGACAAUGAUUGGAGGCAACUAGAAAUCCCCAUGCACUACUUGUUCAUACACUUUGAAAUUCUCCAAUUACAUAGAACUCCCUCAAAUUUCACUCAUGAUCUUAGUAACGAAUGCUUUCGACUUAUACUCUUUAGAAAUUGUGAAGUUUUUUUUUUUUGAUGGCUAUGUUGGCUUACAAUCCAAUGGAUUCUAUAGGUUAAUAAUUUUUUCGAGUUGCAUUUUGAGUUUUGAUGUUGAAGUCUUAAUUUCUUAAGAGGCAGCAAGUAAAGUGUUUUGAGAGCAUUCAUUAACAAUUGUAGCUUUAAAAAUAAUUAAUGCUCUUGCCCAUGCUUCGCUUGAGUUCAUCUCUAAGAUUUAUAAAAAAAUUGCUAAUUAUUAAAGAAAACUCAUAAUUCUAAAUUCCACAAAUCAUGAUAUGAUUAGACGUGUUAAUAAAUUUCUCUCUACCUCAUAAAUAUCGUAGAUAGUCAAUCUUAUCGCAUAUAUAAAUGCGAUAAAUUUCAAAAGAUUUUACUCUAGUUCUCAAUUUCUUGGCAGAUUACUUGAACCUUCUAUUUGGAAAAAAAAUAAAAAUUCAUUCCACUAGAUUUACUGCACAAUCAUUUAGUUAUCAGGUUUCCUUAGCAGAAACCUUGUAACUUGGACAAUACUUUUCUGUGUAAGAAACAUUGCAUUUCCUGCACAUAGGGCACUAAAGCGGAAAGGAAUGUGGCAUCCGCAUGGACCACUUUGUCGAAUGCAAUAGCUGGUGGUCUGGUGGAUGAUGAGCAUCGGGUACAAGUGGAAUCCUCUCUCAUGUGCAUGUCACAAAUCAUCUAAUUAUCCAAAGAUCUUAACUCAAUCGUCCAAAAUGGUUAACUCGCUCUUUUAUCAAAGCGUUCUAUGUUCUCUUAAGAUUGUAACAAUUUUAUCAUAAUUUCUACACACGAUAUCCUUAUAAGAAAAUACUCGAAAUAUUUUCAAUAGAUAACUGAUUUCCUUUUUCUUUUGCAUAGGUAAAGCAGGAACUUUUAUCUAGGAAUGAAGAAGCACCUCCACUAUCAAAAGCUGUAAUCUUCUUGCGGGGAUGUCUUUUUGUUGCUUUACAAAAAAGUCUCUACAUAAAAGGUGAAAUGAUAGGAUCACUGCCAUUGACAACAUGGUAAUAUUGCUCACGACAAGUUGAAAUCUGCAUCAACCUUUUCGGAUAUAAAGUCGAAGCACCAACUUUAUCUCUGAGCAUGCGAAGAAAAGGUUGAUGAAAUGCUUUCUACAUUGCAUUCACGGCGUUGAAUACAAGUGGUAUCGUCCAAUUUGCUUUGUACCCUUCGCAUCGAGCUCACAGGAUAUGGACAUGCAUAAAACAAGGCCAAUCAGUGAAGUUGGGGAAUCAAUAUAGGUGAGAAAAACACAACCGAAAUCACCAACUAUAUCACCCUCUUGGCUUCCCUCCACCAUCAUAUUCUUCUUCUUUCCCCCAGUUCAUAAAGGGCCAACGACAUCAUAUUCCAUAUCCUACACAAAGCUGCCAUUCAUGGAUUCAUUUAUCAUCCCACACUGAAAAGCUUCACCGUCAUUUCAGCAAAAACCUAUACAAUACCAACCUUAAUUUACUAUGAAUGCAUUGAUCAGAUACAAUGAAACAUAUUUUUUUCCUUUGCUUAUUUAGCUACGAUAGUAACGUGCCUUCAACAACACUAUGCCACCACAAAGGCAGUAGAUGAACCGGCGAAAUGCUGGAUGUUCCCAAACAGCGACUUUGCAGCACCAAAGUGUCGGAUUCUGUAAACUCCUGGAACAACUGAAGUAGGGACCCUCCAUUCUAUAGUUGCAUGGCUCCUAGGGCUCAGUUUCACGGGCCUUGACCAUAUGAACCUCAAGCAGAAAUCGUCGUCAUCGUAGGCUGGGAUCCAUGCCUUCUGAUCCUGAAGAAACUCUACCAGCGCGAAAGUGCCCUCAGUCAUCAGGUCGUUUCUAGGACAAGCAGACCAAAAAGUGACGCUUACUAAAUCUCCUCUUCUGAAGGUGGAAUUCAGGGGGAUAUCAGCCUUAACGUCUCCAAAGUUCACACCGGGAGGCGUUGCAUCCAAGAUAACUGGGGGGAGCAAACUUAUUUGCCUGUCAAGGAGAUCCGGUGGUUCCGGACCUGGUUCCAUGGUUUCGUCAGUGGUGAGAGCUUCGACUAAUUUCUUGAACUCCUGAAUGUAGGCACUGUGAGUGUGGGGACCGUAAAGAGUAGAGGCGCCCUGGUGAGAAUCAACAGCUACAUCUAUAAGUCAAGGUGGACGUGGAAACCAAAGAUUCACAUCCACUAUCAAACAGUCAAGUGGGACAAAAUGCUACUGAUCUGAAAGGUAAAGCCAAGCUGAAGGAGCUCUCCCAAACAGUAUCAUUGCUAAAUUUUACCUCACAUUUCCAAGAGAUAGGCCCAUCCUCAAACUAAAAUGAUGACAUUAAUUCAUCCUCCUACCGACAAAAGCAAUUCCCUAUUUAGGGAAUUUAGGCUAACAUUAUGAAUAUGUGGCCAAACAAAAAGAAAACAUAAUGACUAACUGAUAGAACAGUCAUGUAACUUGUAAAGGCUUCUUCAUUUAUGUAUUUCAACUCAAUAUAUGACCAAAGCAGGUGUAGGUAUUGGCAUGUCCAGACAACCAGGGCAUCUGAAUGGUUCAUGCAGGCACCUUUACACAAUUAACUUACCUGACAUCAGGAGUGGGGGGGAAAAAACUAAUGAGACACUGAUGGAAGCCCUAAUGGGGCAGUUGAAUCCGCACGUGGCAGAGGGCACAUAUUACAAAGAGAGCAAUCAGCUAGGAGUAUCCAUGUAGCUCCCUUGCACCUUAUACAAAAAGGCUUACGUACUGCUCGAUGUAUCAGACAUAAACAACUUAAAGAAGUUAAAAAGAUAUCUCAAAACGGCAUUUUUGAUGAUCAUUAGGACAGCAAUUUAUGCUGCUUAAUCCCACAAUACUCAUGCAGUGUAUUUACAGUUUAUCACUUGGGAAAACCAAUGCCCUAAUGUGGGAAAAGAUAAGUUUGCAGGGUAGAAGUUUGGUGGCACAAUAUGAAGUUAGACUGAAUAUCUAGGUUUGUUCAUGGCAGUCCAAGCCAUGGACAGAAAGAGCAGUCUAAUGACUGCUCUCCGCCAGUCAAGAAAUCAAAAAAAUGCAGAACAAAUCGUGGCCUAUGCUUAAUUUUGUUGGUCACUGACGGUUUCAGAUUCAAAAACAUUGUACAGUAUUCACUUAUGAAUCAAUGAAUUACCGAGGCAACCGACAUCUGUGAUACACACUGCAAAUUCCCCCGAAUGAACCACUUGUACAAAUGAUGAACUUGGCAGUCGCACAAAUAUACGAAAUAAUGCUCUAACGAAGAUGCUAAUAUGACCUGAAUCAAUAGUAAACAGAGGAAGGAAGAUUCAGACCUCGUAUCUCUGCACUUGAUAUUCCUCAAAUGUGGUAACAUACUGAGAAUAAGUGUUGGAAAGCCCUGCGAUGACGACAUGGACAUUACUAUCAAACUUGUCCACUCUAGAAGCAAGCACCAUCUUGACAGCAUCGCGCAGGCGUCUACCAGCCAUAGUUGUGAACUCUGCAAGUGCAAGGAACAUAAGCAUUGGUGGGCGAAAUAAGACACAAACCAUGAUAAAUCGCGGGAAAUCAUCAAGUAAUCCCAGUCAUCCGUUAAAAAUACAUCAUUUUGUUCAAUUAUAUGAGCUUUCUAUCUGAGCACCAAACAAUUUGUCCAGCCACAGUUCUUCAUGUGCUUCCAUAAAUGCUCCAACAUAUAUUGACAGAGGAACAAUUAAACAAUUUAACGAGACAAGAAAAAGCAACUAUCAGGGGCAGGAAGCACUUUUGUUGGUACCUGCAGGUGCGGCAAGAAGUACUAGUUGCCCUAUUUGCAGAGUCUGUAGAGGAAGUAUUGAAGGCUGCAGUUUGGAUAAAACAAUUUAUGUUAGAACACCAAUCAGGCAUUGCUGGUAGUUUCAAAUGCUGAAUAAUCUACAGCUAGGACUCCCUUACAUUAACUAUUGUCCAACAGAAGUUGCUGAAUUUCAAUUUCUAAGUGAAUAUUUAAACAUCUUACUAAACGAUACUGUUCCAUGAACUCUUCUCCACUUACCGCCCAGUCAUAUGGUUCCUUCAUUUCUC
rnacentral:lncRNA from 1 species